rnacentral:lncRNA from 1 species
AUGAAUCUAACAAUUACGAGUAAUGUCUUUGUGACAAGAACUUUCUUUGUCUUUUAUUCCCAUGUUUGAACUAGUAUAGGUCGGGGUUACACAUUAUGGUGCACAUCACUUUAUUUAUCAUCGUUACAUUGAACGCUCAUUGACUAAACAACGAUGAUCCAUCCAUCUUGUAUUGUAGGUCUUCAUUUCAUUGGCCACCGAUGCUUGUAAGACUAGUCUCAUAUGGUUGUUGUUGUGGAUAUGGUUGUUGAGGUUGGUGUGGUUGCUGGGGUUGCUGGGAAAUUGUUUGUUCUGGUUGCUGGGAUAAUUGUUGUUGGGGCUGUAGAAAUGGUUGUUGUGGUUGUUGGGGUAAUGGUUGUUGUGGUUGCAGGAUGGAUGGUUGUUGGGGUUGCUGGGGUUGGGGCUGGGGAAAUGAUUGUUGUGAUUGUUGGGGUUGCUGGGGAAAUGGUUGUUGCGGUCCUAGGAGGAAUGAUUAUUGUGGUUGUUGGGGGAAUGGUUGUUGNNNNNNNNNNNNNNNNNNNNNNNNNNNNNNNNNNNNNNNNNNNNNNNNNNNNNNNNNNNNNNNNNNNNNNNNNNNNNNNNNNNNNNNNNNNNNNNNNNNNNNNNNNNNNNNNNNNNNNNNNNNNNNNNNNNNNNNNNNNNNNNNNNNNNNNNNNNNNNNNNNNNNNNNNNNNNNNNNNNNNNNNNNNNNNNNNNNNNNNNNNNNNNNNNNNNNNNNNNNNNNNNNNNNNNNNNNNNNNNNNNNNNNNNNNNNNNNNNNNNNNNNNNNNNNNNNNNNNNNNNNNNNNNNNNNNNNNNNNNNNNNNNNNNNNNNNNNNNNNNNNNNNNNNNNNNNNNNNNNNNNNNNNNNNNNNNNNNNNNNNNNNNNNNNNNNNNNNNNNNNNNNNNNNNNNNNNNNNNNNNNNNNNNNNNNNNNNNNNNNNNNNNNNNNNNNNNNNNNNNNNNNNNNNNNNNUGCAGGGGGAAUGGUUGUUGGGGAAUUAUUUGUUCUGGUUGCUGGGGGAAUGGUAGUUGGGGCCGGGGAAAUGGUUGUUGGGGUUGCUGGGGGAAUGGCUGUUGUGGUUGCAGAGGGAAUGAUUGUUGGGUCUGGGGAAAUGGUUGUUGUGAUUGCUGGGAAAAUUGUUGUUGGGGUGUGGGAAAUGGUUGUUGCGAUGGAUAUGGUUGCUGUGAUGGAUAUGGUUGUUGUGGAUAUGGCUGUUGUAGAAAUGGUUGUUGUUGAUAGGAAAAUGAUUGUUGAGGUGAUUGUAAUUCUUUGUUGCUAGGGUUUAGCUGCCUAGCGGCAGUGGCGAUGUUCAUCGCCAUGGCAAGGAGGACAAAGAUGAGGAAGGUCUUCAUGUUGGAUUUGUGGUUACUACUGCUUGCUUGCUUUUGAUGCUUGUGGUCUAGGUGUGUGAAGUUUGGAUGAUGAAAUGUGGUCUUGGUGGUGCAUGUGUAUUUAUAGUUUUCAUGGCAUGGCUUGCUUUCUUCUUCCCACUCGCUUUUUGAAAAAGUGCACCAAUGCUUAUCCAACUAAUCAUUUGAUUUGUUGUGUUUGGUGCAACUACUUACUAGCAAGAUUUUGGAUUUUCAUGAUAGUUGCUUUUUGUUGAAAUCAUCUGGUUGUAAGGAAUGUUGGAUAAUGACCAAUGACUCAUCUUCUUCACUUUACACUGCAAACAUUGAUCUAAAUUAUAUCCUUUUUUGAAAUUUAGUUUGUGAAGCUCUACAUGUUGUUAGGCUUAUCUAUAUUGGCAUAGCUUGAGUGGAAUUAAGUUUGUAAGCUUGUGAGCGUCAUUAUGAUGGAUCACACUAUUAAUGUGAUGAUUGUACUACAAAUUAUCUUUCCAAAACUAAUUUUAUGUUUUUUCCCAAUAUGAUUCUAAGACGGAUAACCAGACAUGACUCAUCAAAUAACAAGAUAAACCGAGUAGCAAAUUGGGGUUAUAAGUUAUAACAUGGACUUUUCUCUAAGAUACACUAUCUUGUCUUGCAUGCUCUGUGAAUUUGAAAAGCAUCUACUAAUUUAUAUGCAAUUGAAACAAAAGUAGACCAGAAAGAUAAGCAAUGAAAUGAGAAUACUAUUAUGUGAAGCUCUACAUGUUUGGCAAGCAAUAAGAUACUGGAUACAUCUAUAUCUUCAAUCCUGACAAUUUUUCUCAUCCCUAUCAACUCUUUAUUGGCUGCCUUUACUGUAGUCAUCCCUUAAAUAAAAAUCACUUAAAGAUAAGUUUGGGAGCUAGUACCAGCAUCUAUCAUGUACAAGAUAAAAAACUAAGGCACAUAUAGUAGUCUAUUGACUAUAUUUAAUUUCAUGUGAUGUGAAAGCAUGUGGAGUAUAAGUUGGUUAAAUAUAAAAUUGUCCUUCAUACCAGUAGGGAAAGAAUAUGCAGUAUAAAGAUUAGAGCAUUAUUAAUAUGCUAUUAAAUGCUACAGGAUAAUCGAUAGUUCAAGUUAAGAACAACAAUAGCAUUCCAACUUUUGUUUUGUGCAAGUUAAGAACAUGCUAACAAAGUAACCUAAGCAAAUAAGUGCAACACCUUCACCUAUAAGGAAAUUUUGAAACUACACAAAAUGACCUAUUGUAAAGAAGGAAAAAAAUCUAAAGGUGAAUGAAAAGCAUGUUAAGUACAUUCAGGAUUCGGUUAUGCCUUCAUGGAUAACCUUUUAGAUGGUGACUUGUCAACCUUGAUGUGUGUCGGCAUGGAACGAGGACAAGAAGACAUCGUUACGUCGUACUUUGGGAAUUUCAUCAAACUGGUUGUGUGCGGGAACAAAUAUUUGUCGCCUCCCUGCUCAAAUCUCUCUUCAUGUCACUAAAUCCGACACUCCACCUACCAAAAUCAGCUGCAAGCCAGGGACAAUCAACAGGUUUCUCCGCCCGUAGCAUCUAUCACCAAAAGAAGUUCAGACUAUAGUCUUGUAGUUUAAAAUUUUGUAAUAACAAGCACUACUAGGUUGCUCUUGUUUGUACGUCUUCAUUAUGUACAACCCAUGGAACUUAAAAUGCAUGGGUCAUUCUUCGGUAUAUACAACCAAUGCAACCAAACAUGCAUUGGGCUUUUCUUUGUACAUCUUCAGGUUCUACAACCAAUGCAACAAAAAAUCCAUUGGGCAGUCUUCCAUUCUAGUCGGGCACCAAUAGUUAAACGAGGAGCUAAACAGUGUUGGAGUCUAAAACUACAUACAAUCAUGAAGCAGAGAGAUGCGACUUGGAAGUUGUGCUCCUGUGAGCUCGUAUUUUUGAAGAAAAAAGUAAUAUUUGUAUUUUGAAGUGGGAAAAAGUCCUAAAAAGGGAUGUUUUGCGGGUUAUAACUUACUAUUUUUGAGUCCUGGGCUGCAGGAAGGUCGUAAAAAAUCAAUGUGUUUUCCCAUUCAUGCAUGUUUCUUGGGUUAUAGGUCACGCUUUUGGUGUCCUAGGGAGAUCACUUCCCCAGUUGGGAACAUUAGGUGAUGAUUUUUAGCAAAACUCAUUGUUUUAGCCUAACUAGUUUCGAGGAUUGGUGGACAAGAUUAUCAUGGAACAAAGUGACAACCUUCCUUUUCUUCAUGCCUAAUAUAAACUUAGCAGUCAACUAAAAGUAACUAGCGAUAUCACAGAAUGUUUUUUUGUCAAAAGUAGAUACCACUUCAGGAUUCAACUCGGUUAGUUCAAUCAUAGACAUGUUAAGAGCAGGAUUUACAACUAACUGCAUAGGGAACAUCUCCUUUUAUCGCCCACUAUCUGUCUAUGCACUUUGGUUUUCCCGUAGCAGCACACAAAGCACUUUGUUAGUACCAAUAAUGUGCUCCAACUCUACACAUUAAUCAUCUUGAAUUCUUCUACUGAUGUCGAACAAUGUUAUAUCUUGAAUUCUUCUAACGAGUUCAGAUUAUACUACAUGGGCAAUUUAUCUGGUCCCUGAGAUGCAAGGUCGAUGAACAAUCGCUUCGUCUGAUGAUGAGGGAUUGUUUUUGCCUAAGAAACCAAUACAUGUAACUUCGACGCCAGAUUAAUAAUUGGUAAAACCCAAAUAAAUUAGAUCACGAGCUAAACCAUUUAAUUUUGUAUGCAUUUAAACUUUUGAUACAUAUGAGCUUGUUAAGAUGUUCGCAUAAACACCAUGGUGAUUUGAAGCAAGACAAAGUAAACUUGAACCGCUUGAGCCACUGACUUAAUAAGAACCUCCUUUCCCGUGGCAGAGAUCGUUUUUAAUACAUCCACUCACUUUGGUUCUCUUAUGAAAUCUAGAUUCCUUCGCUAAGGCUAUUGCUCCAGUAUUGUCACAAAAGAUUUUUGUUGGACCCGAUGCACUAGGUAUGACACCUAGAUCGGAUAUGAACUCCUUCAUCCCGACUCCUUCAUUUGCUACUUCCGAAGCAGCUAUGUACUCCUCUUCACAUGUAGAUCCCUCCACGACGCUUUGCUUGAAACUGCACCAACUGACAGCUCCACCAUUCAAUAUAAAUACGUAUCCGGUUUGUGACUUAGAGUCAUCCAGAUCAGUGUCAAAGCUUGCAUCAACGUAACCAUUUACAACGAGCUCUUUGUCACCUCCAUAAAUGAGAAACAUAUCCUUAGUCCUUUUCAGGUAUUUCAAGAUGUUCUUGACCGCUAUCCUAUGAUCCACUCCUGGAUUACUUUGGUACCUCCCUGCUAAACUGAUAGCAAGGCACACAUCUGGUCUGGUACAUAGCAUUGCAUACAUGAUAGAACCUAUUGCUGAAGCAUAGGGAAUGACUUUCAUUUUCUCUCUAUCUUCUGCAUUGGUCGGGCAUUGAGUCUAACUCAACUUCACACCUUGUAACACAGGCAAGAACCCUUUCUUUCCUUGAUCCAUUUUGAACUUCUUCAAAACUUUAUCAAGGUAUGUGCUUUGUGAAUGUCUAAUUAACCGUCUUGACCUAUCUUUAUAGAUCUUGAUGCCCAAUAUAUAAGCAGCUUCACCGAGGUCUUUCAUUGAAAAAUUCUUAUUCAAGUAUCCUUUUAUGCUAUCCAGAAAUUUCGUAUCAUUUUCGAUCAACAAUAUGUCAUCCACAUAUAAUAUCAGAAAUGCUACAAAGCUCCCACUCACUUUAUAAAGGCUUCUCCAAAAGUCUGUAUAAAACCAUAUGAUUUGAUCACACUAUCAAAAUGUAUAUUCCAACUCUGAGAGGCUUGCACCAAUCCAUAAAUGGAUCACUGGGCUUGCACACUUUGUUAACACCUUUUGGAUCGACAAAACCUUUUGGUUGCAUCAUAUACAACUCUUCUUUAAGAUAUCCAUUAAGAAAUGCAGUUUUGACAUCCAUUUGCCAAAUUUCAUAAUCAUAAAAUGCGGCAAUUGCUAACAUGAUUUGGACAGACUUAAGCAUCGCUACGGGUGAGAAGGUCUCAUCAUAAUCAACUCCUUGAACUUGUCGAAAACCUUUCGCAAAAAGUCGAGAUUUGUAGACAGUAACAUUACCAUCAUCGUCAGUCUUCUUCUUGAAGAUCCAUUUAUUCUCUAUGGCUUGCCGAUCAUCGGGAAAGUCAACCAAAGUCCACACUUUGUUCUCAUACAUGGAUCCCAUCUCAGAUUUCAUGGCCUCAAGCCAUUUCGAGGAAUCUGGGCUCAUCAUUGCUUCCUCAUAGUUUGUAGGUUCAUCAUGGUUGAGUAACAUGACCUCCAGAACAGGAUUACCAUACCACUCUUGUUGGGAAUAUGACUACCAGGUAUGACCCGCCCAGGAGGGGCCGGGUCAAUCCUAAUGGCGGGUUACUAAAAGAAGCUCAGUGAAUAUACAAGGCGAUAGUUUAUUAUAAGACUUGUAGUAGGACCAAGCCCAAAGGCGGGUUAAGGCCCAUAAUUGUAAACCGCCAUGUAUAAGAAAGAAUUGUAAAGAAAGGCAUGUAAGAGAAGUCACCGAGCCGGGCACGUUAUAUGAGCCGGCUGGGACUCUGUAGGCCGCCAGGCGUCAACCCGUGUAUAUAAGGGGACGACCCGGUGGCGGCUUAGGGCAAGUAACAUCAAAUCGAGAGCCAUGCAUAGCGUAUUUGCUCCCUGGUCAUCGAAACCUAGCAAUACCACAUCAACUGGACUAGGCUUUACCUUCACCGUAGGGGGCCGAACCAGUAUAAACCUUUCGUGUCCUUUGUCCCGAUUAACCCCUUUAAGCUUCCUAGUUGCGAUGGCUCCACGACUAAGUCCUUUCAGUAGGACAUCUGCCGUGACAAUUCCACGACAGUUGGCGCCCACCGUGGGGCCAUCGCACGAUGGAUUUGAGUUCUUGAAGGGCAGCUUCCAAGGGCUCAAGGGAUACGCUGUGGGCCGGAUAACCAAAAGUUGUCACAGCAAGCUCUACAUCGACGACGCAGGCUGGGGCCCCGAGGCUGGCUCAAUCGAGUACGGGUACCGGGUCCCCUUCGGCGGAAUCCACGUCUUCAUCGGCCGGAUCGGCGAGCCGGGCCCUGAGUCGGACAUCUGCACCGACCUCAUCGAGAUGGCUCAGCGAGUGAGACCUGCCCGGGCUCAACCUGCCGUGAGGCGUGCCUUCGUGGGUUGCAUCCAUGGAGGGGAAUUUUCUGAAGGAUCGAUGGACGGUGGUGAGACAGUCGUUUGCUCUAGCAGUGAGUCGUCCAUAGGCGAGACAGAUUCUUUGUAUCAGCUACAAGAUGGCGGGCUUGGGGGCUGUUCCGAUGGCAGUAGUAUUCCGGACCCCUCUGAGCCGCCGAAUCGAGCCGGAGUCUUCAUGGCUGGCACUCAACCUGGUUAGAAUUCUAUGGCUGCGGCAGCAAUAACCACUGGGUCAGCAGGGGCCGGGUCAGGAGACCCCGCGCGCCCACCGGCUCAGGUACUAAUGGACCUCAUGGAUAGGAUGACGGCCCUGUUGACUGCUGUGGUUGAGCCGGCAGAUAAGGCUCAGCAUGACGCAGAGGUAGCACAGCUACACAGAGAGGUAGCACAGGCCAAGGAAAAUUUAGUGGCGGAAGAUGUCAGGAUGGCCGCGGAACGGGCGGCUCUGGAUGCACGGGCUCGGCAGCUUCAAGCGAAGACUUUCUGGCUCUCGGUGGAUCUGAACGCAUCAAACGAGGUCACGAGGAGAAGGCACCAGAAGGCUCAAUCAUGUCUGCCUCUGACUUACGAUCCUAGGAACCUUUUUCACACACCCGGGACUGGUCCCAGUAACCCGCUGAAGGCAAACCGGAUCACAACACCCGGGACCGGGACGCCGGUUCAACCGCGGGCCAUGGAACCACCGCGUGUGAAUACUGCUCUGCCUCACUACACAGCGAUACCACCGGGUCACUUCUCUAACCCCUUGGAGAACCUUAUUGCUGCGUCGGCUCAUCUGGCGGCUCUCCCGAUGGAAGGUGACUCUUCGACGGCGAUCGAGACACGACGGGUCAGAGAACUUCUUCAGACGGCUCUGGCACAGCAGGAUGCAUAUUCUUAUAGUUGAGAUAGAAUCCAUUCAACCCCUCGCCCAAGCCGGAGCCCAAGCUAUAGCAGGCAUAUGGACUCGGCGGCCAUGUCAAGCAACACCCAGCGCCGUAACCAUCCACGUGGGCGUGACCCGGCCCCGGGCGGAGCUUGUAACUUGGUAGACCAGGAGAGGAUCCGUCAAGAGGCUGAACGGGUGGUUCAACAGGCGGCUGAGCAAGCGGCUCACCAAGCUUUUCCAAUUUAUACAGUGACCUCUGUUGAAGCAGGGGUGGCCACAAGGACAGGAGGAGUCCCUUGUCUUGUGCAGUCUCUGCGUAAUGAGCGUUUACCAAAGGACUUUAAGGGGCCUCGUAAGGUGCCCAAUUACACAGCCGACCUGCAGCCCGGAGCAUGGAUUGAAAGUUACGAGAUGGCCAUGGAGUUAUUAUAAGUCAGUGACGCAGCAAUGGCCAAAUACUUCACCAUGAUGUUGGAUGGAACAGCUCGUACUUGGUUAAAGGGGUUACCGCCCAACUCCAUCGGCUCAUGGGCGGAGUUGAAGGCACGGUUCAUUCAGAACUUUAAAGAUACCUGUAAACAGCCCAUGUCAAUCGUGGACUUGACUAACUGCAAGCAAGAGGAAGGCAAAUCCAUGACCCAUUGGGUGCGCCGGGUCAAGGAAAUAAUACAUUCAUCUGAUAAGAUGGAUGCCAGCUCCACGGUCUUAAUGUUGGAGAAAAAUUACCGUUUUGAACCUCUGAAACAGAAGCUGGGGCGGCUCAAGCAUGAUUGUAAUGACAUGGGCCAGUUGAUGGCGGCUCUGGUCAAAUAUGCUGACUCUGACAGUACCAAGGAUCCCAUGUCUGACGAAGAGAAGACGAGGAAGGGAAAGAAGAACGGCAACGGCAAGGGUCACCAGCAUAACCCGACAAAUCAAGGAGGUAAUAAACGCAAGGCUGACGAGUUUGUGGCUAACACCAAUGCACAUGGCAACAACCAAUGGCGCAAGGGGAGGCCACCUCCUCGGUCAGGCGGAUCAGGUCCCACCCUCGAGCAACUACUAAAUGAACCCUGUCCGGGACAUGGCACCCGGGAGAAGCCGGCUACCCAUCUGUGGAAGGAUUGUACGAUCAUGAAGGCUUUUAAGAAUUCUAACAUGUUUGAUGGUAACCACGGGCCUGCUGGCGGCUCAGGCGGUGGCGGUUUUCAUGGCCAAGGCCAUCCGGGUAGUCAAGGCGAUUAUAGUCAGCAAUCCGGCCAGGGCAGUCAGCAACAGCAGCAACAGCCCGUGUAUCAGAGUAACCCAAAACAGCUGAACAGUGGACAGUACCAUGUGUUUACCACCAGUUUGUGCAAGAGGGACCAGAAGCUUCAGAAGAGGGAUGUAAAUGCUAUUGAGCCGGCGGUUCCACGUUAUUUGAGAUGGUCUGAACAACCUAUUCUGUGGAGUAGGGAAGAUCACCCACCCCGGGUUGAUAAUCCGGGUCAUCUGGCUUUGGUGGUGGCGCCUCAGGUUGGUGGAUAUAAGUUCACUAAAGUGCUCAUGGACGGAGGCAGUAGCAUCAACGUCCUCUAUUAUGAGACGUUCUGUCGCAUGGGGUUGACUGAUAAGAGUCUUAAAACAUCCAACACUGUUUUUAUGGGGUAGUGCCUGGUAAGUCGGCGUACCCAGUUGGUAAAAUUGAGCUGGAAGUGGCCUUUGGAGAUGAGUAUGAUUCUAGGGCUGAGAAGCUAACUUUUGAAGUGGUUAAAAUCAAGAGCCCAUAUCACGCUCUGUUUGGACGGCCGGCUUAUGCUAAGUUCAUGGCCCGGCCGUGUUAUGUGUAUUUGCAGCUCAAAAUGUUGGGUUAUAAAGGCACUAUCAUAGUACAUGGAAGCCGGAAAAUAGCCCUGGAAUGUGAAGAAGGUGAUGCUGCAUAUGCCGAGUCUGUUUGUGCAACAGAGGAAUUGAAGUUUUAUAAGGAUAAUGUUGACCCGGCAAACAUGGCGUCUUUGAAGAAGCCAACUACGGAGCAUGAGCCGGCAUUGAAAUUCAAGUCCGCUGAUGACACCAAGAUGAUUGAUUUCGUGUCUGGCGACUCAUCCAGACACUUCAUUAUCAGUGCUAACUUGGAUCCAAAAUAGGAAAGCGUGCUCAUCGAGUUCAUCCAUGAGAACCGGGACAUCAUUGCAUGGAAGCCUUCUGACAUGCCGGGUGUUCCGAGAGAACUCGUUGAGCACACUCUCAAUAUUCAUCCAAAGUUUAAGAUGGUCGGGCAAUUUCUUCGGCGGUUUAACGAGGAAAGGUGCAAGGCCAUUGGAGAAGAGGUGGCCCGGCUCUUGGCGGCCGGGUUCAUUGUUGAAGUUUUUCACCCAGAGUGGUUGGCUAACUCGGUGCUUGUGCUUAAAAAGAACGGCACCUGGCGCAUGUGUGUGGAUUACACAAAUUUAAACAAGGCUCGUCCAGCUGAUCCUUUUGCUCUCCCUCGUAUUGAUCAAAUCAUUGAUGCUACGGAGGGUUGUGAGCGUUUGAGUUUUCUGGAUGCUUAUUCGGGUUAUCAUCAGAUCAAGAUGGCAGUUAAGGACCAGGAGAAAACAGCUUUCAUCACUCCGUUUGGAGCCUUCUGCUAUGUGUCUAUGCCUUUUGGGCUCAAGAGUGCCCACGCGACUUAUCAGCGGUGUGUACAAAAUUGCCUUCAUAAUCAGAUUGGGUGUAAUGUUCAUGCUUAUGUGGAUGAUAUAGUGGUGAAAUCCAGAGAGAAGGAAACCUUAGUAGCUGAUCUAAAGGAAACCUUUGGUAACCUCCGGGUCUACAAGAUGAUGCUUAACCCGGCCAAGUGUGUUUUUGGAGUCCCAGCUGGCAAGCUCUUGGGUUUUUUGGUGUCUAAUGGAGGCAUUGAGGCUAACUCGGAGAAAAUAAAGGCAACCACGUCUUUGGCUAAACCGGCAUGCAUCAAUGACGUUCAGCGGCUGGCGGGCCGUGUCGCAGCUUUAAGCCGGUUUAUAAGUCGGUUGGGCGAGAAGGCUAUGCCAUUGUAUCAAAUGAUGAAAAAGGUGGAUGACUUUGUAUGGAGUGACGCUGCUGAUUCCGCUUUUGAAGGUUUGAAAAGACAGCUUGCUGGGCCACCUAUUCUUGCUGCCCCCGUUGAGAAGGAGCCGCUAUUGUUAUAUGUGGCUGCUAACUCACAAGCCGUCGGCAUGGCCAUUAUUGUGGAGCGCAAGGAGGUUGGCAAGGAACAUCCAGUUCAAUGGCCGGUUUACUACGUCAGUGAGGUGCUCAUUGGAUCCAAGAAAAGAUACCCACAUUAGCAAAAACUUGUUUAUGGGGUGUUCAUGGCAAGCCGGAAGCUUAAGCAUUACUUCCAGGGUCAUCCUAUCACUGUGGUUAGCUCUGCUCCUUUAGGAGAUAUUAUUUAGAACAGAGAAGCCACAGGACGAGUCGCCAAGUGGGCCAUUGAGCUUGGGGUCUCAUAAUAUAAAGUAUGUGCCACGUACGGCUAUUAAGUCUCAAGCACUGGUGGACUUCAUUAAUGAUUGGACGGAGUUACAGACACCUGAAGAGAAGCCAGACAACACAUAUUGGACGAUUCAUUUCGAUGGGUCCAGGCAGUUGGAAGGCUCGGGGGCUGGAGUUGUGUUAACUUCUCCUCGAGGUGACAAGUUUUGUUAUGUGUUGCGAUUGAUGUUUCCUUGUACUAACAAUGCAGCAGAAUAUGGGGCCUUGCUCCAUGGUCUUCGAAUGGCUAAAGAGAUGAGUUUAAGACGGGUACGGUGCCUUGGCGACUCAGAUUUGGUGGCUCGGCAGGUGUCAGGCAAGUGGGAUUCCAAGGACCCUCUCAUGGCGGCUUAUCGCCGGGAAGUUGAUGAUGUUGUUGGACAUUUCAAAGGUUAUCAGGUGGAGCACAUUGACCGCAGAAAAAACAAAGCGGCUGAUGCUUUAAGCCGGUUGGGAUCACAGCGUAAGCUGGUGCCACCUAACACUUUUCUAGAUGUUCUUCAAAACCCUUCUGUCAAACUGCCUACAGAGGAAGAUUUGGUCAUUCCAGACCCGGAGGCACAGUUAGUAGCGGCUCUUCAUGUUAUUCCAGAUUGGACAUUACCGUAUUUGGCUUACAUGACCCGGGGUGAGUUGCCAGAGGAUGAGACCUUGGCUCGACAGAUAACCCGACGGUCUAAGUCAAUGACAAUUUCCAAUGGUGAGUUGUAUCAUCGCAGCGUCACUGGAGUGUUUCAACGUUGUGUCUCUCCCGAAGAAGGUCAAGAAAUUCUUCGUGAGAUCCAUGAAGGGGAUUGUGGUCAUCACGCUGGUUCAAAGUCUCUUGUGGCUAAAGCUUUUCGUCAUUGUUUUUACUGGCUAACGGCUCACGCUGAUGCAGAGGAUCUGGUCAGUAGGUGUGAUGGGUGUCAAAAAUUUGCACGACGAGCGCACGUGCCGGCUUAAGAAUUGCGGAUGAUUCCAAUCACUUGGCCGUUUGCAGUCUGGGGGCUUGACAUGGUUGGACCUUUUAAAAGAUCCAAGGAUAAAAAGACACAUCUUUUGGUGGUAGUUCACAAAUUUACAAAAUGGGUUGAGGCAGAGCCGGUUAGUAAGUGUGAUGCAGCCACGAUGGUUCAGUUCAUGAAAAAGGUGAUCUUUCGUUUUGGCUUUCCACAUAGCAUUAUAACUGACAAUGGUACUAAUCUGUCCAAAGGCAACAUGGAGGAGUUUUGUCAAUGUGAGCAUAUCCGGCUUGAUGUUUUGUCUGUAGCUCACCCCCAAUCCAAUGGUCAAGCUGAGAGAGCAAAUCAGGAAAUCCUAAAAGGUCUCAAGCCCGACUUAUGGUUCGUUUACAACGGACGCCGGGUUGUUGGGUGGAGGAAUUACCCUCGGUGCUGUGGAGUAUCAAUACCACUCCUAACAGAUCUACAGGUUAUACACCUUUCUUCAUGGUUUAUGGAGCAGAAGCAGUUCUGCCUAGUGACAUCCGUCAUGACUCACCUCGCGUGGCGGCCUAUGUUGAAGCUGAUAAUGAACAAGCCCGACAGGAUGCACUUGACUUGUUAGAUGAGGAGAGAGAUUUGGCAGUGGCUCAAUCAGCAAUUUAUCAACAAGACUUGCGCCGUUAUCACAGCCGCCGGGUUAAGUCCAGAACCUUUCAAGAAGGUGACCUAGUGCUCCGGCUCAUCCAGGAUCUGUCUGAUGCACACAAGCUAUCCCCGCCUUGGGAAGGACCCUUUGUGGUCAACAAGAACUUAAACAAUGGGUCAUAUUACCUCAUUGAUGUUCGAGAGCACAAAGACCCACGUAAGUCGGAGGAGGAGACCCGCCGGCCGUGGAACAUCGCUCAGCUUCGGCCAUACUACACUUAAACCAUCGGCUCUCAUCAUGUACAUACUUUGACGUUGUAUAUAAUAUGAUAAGUAAUAAAGCAGGACCUCUGUCCUUUUUCCCCUUCAAUGAUCAUAUAUCUUUAUUAUUUUCAUUAUUUAAAAUGACCAUUAGGGGGCUGAUCGUAUCCGAAUCUAGCUUAACCCUUUUGGUCCGGCUCAUGAUCGUAUUCGAAUCUAGCCGUAAAACUCAUGGUCACUUGGGGGCUUCCUGUUCAAACAUAGGUCGUAUUCGAACCAAAGAGAACAUAGCUGUCGUAACCCUCUUGAUCGGCUCAAAGCCAAACUCACUAGGGGGCUUCUUGAUCGUAUCUGAAUCAUAGCUUAACCCCUUUUUGGGUCCAACUUGGAUCGUAUUCGAAUCAGGGUCGUUAAAAACCUCUCAAGGUCAUUUGGGGGCUUCCUAUUCAAACAUAGGUCGUAUUCGAACCAAAGAGAACAUAGCUGUCGGUACCCUCUUGAUCGGCGCAACGCCAAAGCCACUGGGGGCUAUAUGAUCGUAUCCGAAUCUUAGCUUAACCCCUUUGGUCCGGUUUACUGAUCGUAUUCGAAUUAGAAGCCUCCAGUUUUUAUUUAAAUGUUUGAUUUACAUUGUCUGAAGCCUAGUGUUUUAUCUUACUAUUUUUAUCGUCUCAAAUCUAACUGUUAGUAUGGUUUCAAAUUAAACCGGCUUGGCUAUUUGACAAUGUGUCGCCAAGGCAUAACAGUCAUCAGACAUAUGGAAGUAUUGACUUCUAAAAAAGAUUGGGUUAUCAACCUCAUCAUCCGGGUCAUGUAAACCGACAGUCCAUGUUCAAAAACCACAGGUAUGACAGUGUCAUUCAUGAACAGACUUCCCUGGGUUUUUCGUCAGUCAAAGGAUUUUUCAGCCUUGUUUAUCUUACAUCUGGUUCUAUUUUUUCCACUAUGAUAAUUUCAUAAUCAUGUACCGGGUGUUUUGACCCGUCCGGUGCUAAGCCACCGGGACAGUUUUUUUCAUCUUUUACAGGAACAGAGUUAAAACAUUACAGAUGUAACCACGAUGUAAUGCAUAUAUAUAUUGACAUCAUGGGCAAAGAGUCAUAUGAAACAUCUUAUGCACGAUGGCAUAGGCAAAAUAUGCAAUUUUCAAACUAACCUAUUACAAGGCAUUGAGAGCCCAAAAGGUUAAACGGUUUUCUCUCUUAAGCAGGUCUUAAGCUAAAAACUGGAUUGUUCAGAUGGUUAUGACUCCUCCCUGGCCGUUUCACCUCCCUCCACUGGUUGGAAGCUGGGAUUGGACCAGUCAAAGCCGUUCAGAGCAAUGAACUCAGCCUCAUCGUCAAUUAGGCCGGCCGGGUCAAUUUGCAGGGCAAAAGUGUGUUGACGAACCGGCGGGAUAAGAUCCAUCACUUUAUAAGAGGGAGUCGCCAUCUUUUUAUUCUCCAUAUCAAAACCCGACUGAUAUUUUUCGAUGUUGGUCUCCUCACCAAGAAUGGUAGCCUGAGGACGAACUCCCCUCACACAAGCAAUAAAGUCAUCUUGCUCAAACGGAGUCCCGUCUUCCUUCAUGGUAGGGUACCCCUUAGCCACGUCCACCGGGUGUAAAUCGGGCACCCAGGCUUUGGAGCGGCUCAGGGCAGUCAGGGCUCCGACUCUGGCACAAGAUCGUUUGACCUCUUGAAAUCUGGCGGGUAAGAUCGAUAACUUCUUCAAAACAUCACUUAAACGGUUGGGUCCUUGGUUGGCAGGGGAUAUAUAUAGUAGAAAGUGCUCGUUGAGCACCAGUGUACAGUUGCUCCACCAAGGUAUAAACCGCCUUCAGUUUUGUCACACUAUCUUGACUCAGAUAUUUUACUUCGUGGACCUGUGAGUACUUUUUAACAAAGGCUCAGCAGGCGGCUUAUAUUUCUGGUUAAAAUAAAGUAUAAGUGACUAAUGCAAAUGACUUACCAAAGAUGGCGGAGACCAUUUGAUACACACGGUUUUUUAAGCCGGUGAGCUCCAUGGUAACCUCCUCAAGAGUCGCCUCUGCUGUCUUGGCACGUUGUGUCAGCAAGGUCUUCUCAUCGGCCCAGGAUUUCUUCUUCUCAGUCACACUGGUCUUCAAUUUUUCAGUUUUAGAGAGACUCAAUUGGAGUUUGGAGUUAGCAGUCUUUAUCUCCGCUUCUUGAUCCGCCAGCCGGGUCUUUGCAUCCGUCAAUUGAGAUCCCAAUUCAGUUAGGGCGGUCUACAAACAUGCAUAGGUGUGUCAAAAUUUAAACACAAGUUAUAUUGAUUAAAGUCGCGAGUGCUUUGCAACGCAACACCACUUGGCACUUGGGGGCUAAUGUCUGCCAAAGCAAUUUUAUGCAAAAUGACUCUUCUAUGUUUCAAGUCCCAAGUGUUUUACAAAGUAACAACGCUUGGCACUUGGGGGCUAAUGCAUGAUAUUCAGAAAGUUUUUCAAGAUGAGCCGGAUCACACUACUUAUUUGGACUAAUCUAAGACAGUUAUGAAGUUAAGUACCGGGUCAUUUAUGAUAAAUUGAGCCGGCCCUUGGGGACUACAUGUGAAGUUUAUACUAAUCCGUUGAACUUAGGAAAAAUCUAAAGACAAGGUAUCAACCUAUAUCAUAAGUCUACAGAUCAUUCAGGUUCAUCAUAAUCUGAAGACUUGGGGGCUGGCAGAGUAUAUAUAAACCGGAGAACGUACCUCAUAUUCUGUAACAUCCCAAAUUUUCAAUUUGGAAUGUUACACGUUAGGUCAUCAUGCAUAUCAUAUUUUAUUUUUCUUUUGGUUUUGAUCCUAGAAAAUCCUAAGCAACUCAAGGACCCACGGAGAGAGUUGGGGAUUUCAUUAUUUACAUAUUUGAGUUUUCUCAAAUUAUGUAAACAGGAUCAUUUGAUUUUAUUUAUUCUAUCAUCAAUUAUUUCUAUUACAAAAAUAUGAGAGAGGGAAUAAAAUGACUUUUCCAAAAUAUAGAAAUAUUGAGGAUUUAAUAAAAAAUCAAAUAAGUUUUAUUUCGGAGUUUUUUGGUAUUUUUAUUUGAAUUUAGGAAAAAUGCGCGUUUUUCAAAUUGUAGUUUGGGCCCAGAUAAAUGUUCACUUUAUCGGGCUUGAUUUUAGGAACCCGGCAAAAUUUAUUUCGUGAUUUUUGGAGUCCGUUUAGUAUUUCUUUUUAUUUUUCUUCCGAGCGGAUUUAAAAAAAAACUAGAACCGACUCCGUGCCGUAACCGGCCAGGAAACCUCCGCCCGGGGCCUUUAUAUAGCGCCCGAACCGGCCGAGAGAGAGAGAGAGGCCCGAAGCCAGCUAACCCUAACCCUAGCUAAGCCGCCGCCGCCUCCCAGCCGUCGCCGCCCGCCGCUGCCGACUCGCCGGAGCGCGCGCCUUUCGAGGUUCGCCGCCGCCUCGUUUUCCGUGAAGUUUUUUUUUAAAAAAAAAAUCUGUUCGUCGUUUUUCUUUUUCGUCGGAUUUUCCGCGGUUAUUUUCUGAUCGCGAUUUCUGAUCCGGUUUUCGUUUUAGUAUAACUUUUCGCUCGUUUAUCGGAAUCAGGCGAUUCAAGCGCCUGGAGUUUCGUCUCGAAACCCUCUUUCCGAAUAAUCAACUUAAACAAGUUUUUGCUACUGUAAAAUUUGCCCUAGAUCCAGAUUACUAGAAGGAAGUUGUUUUUUUUGCCGUUUGAUUUCUUUCGCUUCGUUCGAUUUGAUUCUUUUGCCAACCAGGGUUCUUAAGUUGAACUUUCUGGUUAGAUCUUCUAUUUGAGUUUUACUUGUGCAUUAGAUGAGUACUUAUUGUAUGCUUGAUGUUUGUCUGUGAUAGAAUACCCGGAGUGCGCCGCCUGUUACUUCGAAUCUCUAGGUUUCGCGGAUCAUCAGCAAGGCAAGUAACACUUUGAUCAUACCUUUUCUACAACCCAGUUUUAUUGCAUUAGAUCAAUCCUCACACAUUGCAUGAUUAGGAUCUAAUUAAAUUGUGGGAUGGGAAGUAGAUGAGGUAGUACCUAUUACCUGUUUAUUAUCAAACCUUUGGGAGUUACUUCUACGUUUGCUUAUGCCAUGUUAUGCCGGUAGACGUGGAUUGGGUGAGUGAUAUCCAUGACAGAUGUGAGAUUUAUAAUUAAGGGUUAUCUAAGGUGGCAACCUAACACACAUCUGGGUGGAUUGAGGCACCUGGGGUUACCAGGACUUGCCUGUUUUCUUUUGGACCGCCACCCAGGCCCAAAGGGAUCAUGAGAUUUUUCAUACUAGAAACUUCCGUGUGCAGCCACAAGCCAUUAUGGGCUCUGGCAUAGUUGACUAAGUUGUGCGAACUCUUACAGUGGUAGACUAGCAGAUGUAGGGGAAAGUAGGUGUACCGGUCUACCCGUCGUAAGGUGCUAGCGCUUCUGAAAGACUGUGUCUCGGUCAUCCGUUUCUCAAACACCUUGUAGUGCGAGAAACCAAACGGAGGUGAUCGAGUCUUGUGGGGAAAAGUGCGCAAACCUCUGCAGAGUGUAACAAACUAAUCAUGGUUAGCCGUGUCCCUGAUUAUGGACAUCUUGAGUAUCUAUUACCUGGAUUAUCAUGUGAAUCUCAACAUGUUACUCUAAAAUUAAUUUUGUGGGAUUUUAAUGAUGUUACUUAAUUGGGAUUGAGGAUGCUGUCAACCAUUCUCAAUGUUUAACAACCACCAUGAUAGUAAUUAAUUUUAUUCCUUUGAAGUAGGGAAAAAUUGGCUUUACGCAAAAACUGUAACCAUAGAGCUUUCCACCAGCCAAAUAUGCAUAUAGUAUAGUUGUUGCAUUCCAUUACUCUCUAUGUGUUACCUUGCCAGCAUAUUCCAUGUGCUGACCCGUUUCGGGCUGCAACGUUAAUGUUGCAGACUUUUCAGAUGACGAUUGAGGAAUUUUAGGUCGUGGUUCUAUACUCAGUGAUGCCGUUGGAGUUGAUGGACUCACUUAUCUUCCAAGCCUUCCGCUGUUAUCGUUAUUAGAUGGCCUUAAGCCAUAUUUAUUGUAAUAAGUUCUCUUUUGAGACACUCGAUGUAAUAAGUGUGUGAUUGCUACUCUGCUAUAAAUCCUCCGAGUACUGUGUGGUGUCAGCAUUACUGAUCCAAGGAUGACAUCGGAGCACAGAGAUCAGACUGUUUAAGGUCUGGUCGCUACAUAUUCCAGUUGCAAUUGCUUGACCAUCUCAAUUUCCGAGUCACGGCUGGAAUGCACAGGACUGAGAUAGCCGGACAGCAUGUCACUAACAUUCAGAUGAGCAUAGUGAGAGAUAUCAAAUUGUACUUUCUGUCUUUCCAAGGCCUCCUGUUUAGCAGAAUGCCUGGCCAGCACAGUCGGAUUACCCGGCGCAACAAAUCUGCUGCCAGUGAUCAAAACGUCAUGGUCAGAAGAUGCUGGCAGGUUAGCUGAACCGGACGGUCUGACGGUGGAUGGAUCGACAAUGGUUUCGUCAGCUGACGGCUCAGGAGGGUCCAAUUGAGCAUGGACAGCUAAAUCUUCUGGCGCUUCAGAUUGAGUGGGAGGAGUUGAUGUUGCCAGUUCAGGUGCAGGAUUUUUUGGGUCCUCUGCCGGUUUAAUCACCUUGGCUUUCUUGGACUUUGCUUGACCGCUAAGAAAGAUUUUUAUGAAAUAGUUAGUAUAAUGAUGCAGUUUUAAAAAUGUAGAGGAAAGAUGAUUUUCCUUACCCAUGGGCAGUCUUGAAAGCCGGAAAUUGAGUUUGGGAUGAGUCGCCAGAAGAGCGAGAGACCUCCUGCAAAGGUAAAAUAAAGUUAAGAAUAUAAGGAAAUAAAUUCAUGGAUAAAAACAAAGGACAAAGGUGAAAGAAACCUCAUUCUGGCGUUUUUGAGGAGUUUUUUCUAAGUCGAAAGGUGGUUCAUCAUCAUCAUUAGUCCGGGCCAGAUGGCGGCUCUCAUGUUGCUGCUUUUUCAAAAGAAAAUGAGGGUCCAAAUAAGCCAAAGGGUGCAAAAACCUUACUUUCCGGGUUACCAGUCGAAGUUUCUGUCUCGGCAAAGGGGCUGAGUCGUAGGAAAUAGUUACCUCUUCUUCCGCGGCCUGGCUGGCCCCCGUGUCAUCCUGGCAAUAGUCAGUGUCAAUAAGAUAGUUGAAAAUUUGGCCAAGGGAGAAAGGGCUACCUCCGACUCAGAAACAUCAUCAAGCUGGAAGAUGUCAGAUGCAGUCUUCUUCUUGGGCUUCCGGGUCGUUCUCUUGGCGGCUACGGCAGCGGAUCUAGCCUUCUUGGUAGCUUCAUGAUCAUACUUGGCCUUCCAGAAGUCAGAUUUGUCCUGUAAACAAAUAAAGAGGUUAAAAGGUCAUGCAAGUAUUUAAACUACUGAGGUAAACACAAAAAGAGAAAAAGGUCAAGAAGUUACCUCUGGUGUCGGGUUAAGUUUGCAGAAGGGGUUUAAUCCAACCUUGCUGUAGUCCUCGUAUUUGCCAUUCACGAGGAUGGUAGACAUUGCAACAAUGUCUUCUUCAGUUAAUUGUACAGAGCUAUAACGCAGAGAAUCAUUUGGGCCUCCGCCAUACUUAUACAUCAACUUGGAUCGGCGGCUUAGAGGGAUGACCCGCCAUGAGAUCCAGCAAUGGAUCAGGUCAACUCCGGUUAAGCCAUUUCCCAAUAAAGCUUGAAUCCUUUUGACAGAUGGGAUAAGCUUCUUGCGUUCAGCAGUAGUAAGCUUGUCAGGGAGCACAAACUUGGAAUCAAGACGCUCUUCACGAUAACCCGGCAGUGGUUUUUCAUCAGCCGGUGAUGUAUCUUGGCAGUAGAACCAGGUUUGCUUCCAGUCUUUGGGAUGGCUCGGUAAGACCACUAAAGGAAAAACGGCACCUUGUCAGCGUUGAAUUGAAAUUCUGCCAAGUUCCAAGCUAAGGCCGUUGGUGCACUCAUUCUGGCGGUUCAAGUAAAAGUACUCUCUAAAGAGCUCCACAGUUGGUUCUUCUUGAAGAUAUACCUCACAAAGAACUUGAAAAUUGCAGAUGUUGGAUAUAGGGUUGGGUCCAAUAUCUUGUGGAUGAAGCUUGAAAAAAUGCAGGACAUCUUGGACGAACUUUGAGCCGGGUGGUGAGAAGCCCCGGUUCAUGUGAUCUGUGAAAACGAUAACUUCGCCGUCUUUGGACUAAGGUCGUUCUUCGUCCGGGUCAGGAGCACGAUAAGACAUAACGCUUUUCUCUGGCAAAAAUCCAAUGGUGACAAAUUAUUUCAAGGUAUCUUCAGUAACUGUGGAAGGCACCCGGUUGCAGACAGUUGGCGCUUUUGACGGCAUGAUGAAGAAAGGGCAAGCUGAAAAGAAAGUAAUUUGCCGGUUCAAUUUAUUGGUGGAGUUACAGGUUCAUGAUUAUAGUACAGAUGAGUAAUGGCGGCUUAAGUAAGGGCUAAUGACAUGUAAAGGAAAAAUAAGCCGGAGUCAUAAGCCGCCAUGACUAAAAAGUAUUUGAAGGUUGCCAGAAUCAAAAUUGACUAAAGUGUUGAGACAAACAGGUUUCCCAAGUUGUGGCUAUUAUUAUGGAUCAAAAUGGUUCAGAAAAUAAAAAUAAAGUUAGACCUAGAAAACGAGCACAGAGGAGUUUGUCAGCUCUAAAGAGGCAUUUAUACAGGAGAAGGGGAUCUGUUAGCUUCAAAAAUGGAUGAGAAAUAGCUACCUCAUAAGUUUUGUACUACUUUUAGAUCAAAAGAGGGUGCGGUAAGAGAAGUUGCAACGAAUCUAUGACGAACAACGAAGAACACAAGAAGGAAACCUCCCGAACCCUAAUGCAGAUCUAUGGGGGUGAGAAGGUGAGAGCUUACAGGUGCGGAGCUGCUGCGGAGGAUCGCCACCGUUCUCUGGAUAGACUCAGGGUGAUGCUGCGGCCAGAGUUGAGGACGACGGUGCGCUACGGUGGCGACGGAGCUCGAGCGGCAAAGAAGGUGCGAGAGGAAGAAGAAAGAGGAAGGACUGGCCGAGCCUAUUUAUAAGGGGGUAAGUGAACGGGCAGACGCAAAAAUUGAGGAAGACCAAAGUAAUGAUUAUCCAGCUAAAUGGACGCCUCGAUCUUCGGAAAACAUUUAAGAUAAGGAUCCGUUGAAGAUGAAAUCGUGGUGUUUUUCCAAAUUUUUUCAAUCCUAAUGGUUGGUUAAUAAAAUAAGCUCAGUGAAUAUACAAGGCGAUAGUUUAUUAUAAGACUUGUAGUAGGCCCAAGCCCAAAGGCGGUUUAAGGCCCAUAAUUGUAAACCGCCAUGUAUAAGAAAGACUUGUAAAGAAAGGCAUGUAAGAGAAGUCACCGAGCCGAACACGUUAUAUGAGCCGGCCGGGACUCUGUAGGCUGCCAGGCGUCAACCCAUGUAUAUAAGGGGAUGACCCGGUGGCUGCUUAGGACAAGUAACAUCAAAUCAAGAGCCAUGCAUAGCGUAUUUGCUCCCUGAUCAUCGAAACCUAGCAAUAUCACAUCAACUGGACUAGGCUUUACCUUCACCGUAAGGGGCCGAACCAGUAUAAACCUUUCGUGUCCUUUGUCCCGAUUAACCCCUUUAAGCUUCCUAGUUGCGAUGGCUCCACGGCUAAGUCCUUUCACUAGGACAUCAUCCGUGACAAUUCCACGACAACUCUGGUGCGGAUCUUACUAUGGUUGACCUACGAGGUUCAGCGGUAACUUGAUCUGAAGUUUCAUGAUCAUCAUCAUUAGCUUCCUCACUAAUUGGUGUAGGAAUCACUGGAACUAAUUUCUGUGAUGAACUACUUACCAAUUCGGGAGCAGGUACAAUUGCCUCAUCAAGUUCUACUUUCCUCCCACUCACUUCUUUCGAGAGAAAGUCCUUCUCUAGAAAGGAUCCUUUCUUAGCAACGAAUAUAUUGCCUUCGGAUCUGUGAUAGAAGGUGUACCCAACAGUCUCCUUUGGGUAUCCUAUGAAGACACAUUUCUAUGAUUUGGGUUCGAGCUUAUCAGGUUGAAGCUUUUUCACAUAAGCAUCACAGCCCCAAACUUUAAGAAACGACAACUUAGGUUUCUUGCCAAACCACAGUUCAUAUGGUAUCAUCUCAACGGAUUUAGAUGGUGCCCUAUUUAAAGUGAAUGCAGUCUGAAAGUGCGUUAUAUCGACUAGAGGGGGGGUGAAUAGGCGAUUUUUAUGAAAGUCUUCAAAACAUGGAAGUUUCGAAGACAAACGAUAGAAAUAAACCUAUUACCAUGCAGUGGAAGUUAGACUACACUAGAUAAACCGUAGUCAUGUAUUCAAUGAAGUGAAAGGACAAUGACUAAUAGUAGCUAGGUAGUAAGGAUCAGGCAGGAAGAUAUUAAGAAGCCAAACGGAUCACACAGUCACUCAGUGAAGACAAAAGAUAGAGAAAACAUACAAUGACUUCACACAGAGUAACAGUAAGUAAAGAGAAGGGAAGGAUGAAACCAGUGACUCGUUGAAGACAAAGAUUUGUUGGACCAGUUCCAGUUGCUGUGACAACUGUACGUCUGGUUAGGGCGGCUAGGUAUUUAAACCAAAGGACACACAGUCCCGGACACCCAGUCCUGAACACGCAGCUCAGGACAUCCAGUCCUCACCGUAUUCCCCUUGAGCUAAGGUCACACAGACCUCGCCCAAUCACUCUGGUAAGUCUUCAAGGUAGACUCCCAAACCUUCACAGACUUCGUUCACCGGCAAUCCACAAUGUCUCUUGGAUGCUCAGAACGCGAUGCCUAACCAGCUGGAGGAUGCACAGUCCUCAAGUGUAAUAAGUCUUCAGAUCACUCAGACAAGAAGACUUAAGUGAUGCCUAAUUCUCUUUCGCUCUGGGUGGUUAGGGCUUUAUCCUCGCAAGGAAUUCUCUCUCAAAGGCUUCGAGGUGGGUUGCUCUCAAACGACAAAAGCCGUACUUUGAAUCUGAGUAGCCAACCGUUUAUGGUUGUAGGGGGUGGGCUAUUUAUAGCCACUAGGCAACCCGACCUGAUUUGUCCGAAAUGACCCUGGGUCACUAAGGAACUAACAUGUGUUCCAACGGUCAAAUUUCAAACUCACACGGAAACUUUACUUGGGCUACAAGCAAAGCUGACUUGUCCGACUCUGGACAAGAUUUUCUCUCAUAGUCUUCACUCGAAGACAUAGGUUUUUGUUUAAGCAUCACUUUAGUCAUUCUGACUGGCUCUCUUGGACCCCACUUAACAGUAUGUUGGUUCCUAUGACUCAACACAGAAGAAAAAGAACUACGAAAAAUCUAAGUGUUCAAGCUCCAUAGGCUUCAUGCGGUGUCUUCUCUUGUCAUAGUCUUCAAUGUGAAUAUCUUCAUAUACCACCUUUGACAUCAAUGUCUUCAUACACUUUUAGGGGUCAUCUCUGGUGGGAAAACCGAAUCAAUGAGGUACUUCUACCUGUGUUAUCCUGCAAUUCUCACAAACACAUUAGUCCCUCAACUAGGUUUGUCGUCAAUACUCCAAAACCAACUAGGGGUGGCACUAGAUGCACUUACAAUCUCCCCCCUUUUGGUGAUUGAUGACAAACUAGUUGAAGUUUUCAACGGGGAAUAUAAUGUGUGAAAUUGUAAAGGAUAAGGAAUUGUCUUCAUAAGUUACAAGGGCUCCCCCUGAAGAUGUGCAUAUAAGUAAUUUGCUUUUGGAAUGCAAAUGCACAUGGCAGGUUGUGCUUGUGGAGAUCCACUUCAACUUAUGAUGACAAUCCACUAUGCAUGUGAAAGUAUGUGAAGAUAAUGACAUGCAUAAUGGAAAAUGGAUGUCUGCAGAAUGAUCUAAGUGCGGAAUCUAUCAUCGCACAUGCGGAAUUUAUCAUCACAACACAAGGUAGCAAAUAGGUAGCAGACGACCAUCAAGUUUAAGUGUUACAACUCAAAGAACCAAAUGUUUCAAAACGAGAGUUGUAAGCACGAAGCAAAAUAUAAAACACCCGCCCAUAUGGACCCAUUUGAAGACUAUCAAACUCAUAUGCUUCUCCCCCUUUUGACAGUAAGGACCAAAAAGGUUUGAAGACAUAGAGCCUCUACUCGUUCCCAUGAGGAGUAGGUGAAGCAGCAGGAUCGUUGAUGGUGUUUGGCAGUGCAGACGAGCUUGGAGCAGUGUCGACGUGUGCUGAAGGAGGCGGCGAAGAAGUAGCAUCGUCUUCAUCCUCGAUCACUCUGGCAUUCACGGUUGCAGUAGAGGAAGAGAACUCAGGGUCUUCAAGUGAUGGAGUUCGUCGCAGCACAGCCCUGCGAGGAGGUGUGGAGUCAAACUUGAAGCGCUCAGUGAAGCCAUCCUCUUGCAGAUCAUCUUCAGAACACAGCAGCGUCAGCCCUUUCCAUGUGCGUCGAGAUGUUUCAUGAGCAACAAAGGCGUUCUUGGUGGCAAGAUUGUGAAUGCGAUUAACAUCCACCAAGAGGCUUUGCAUUUGACGCUUUAGCCAGUCAUGAUGCCUAUCCUGUUUCUGAUGAAGGGCCACCAGAAGCUCUCGGUCAUUGAGGACACGAGUGCGCUUCUUGGGUCGUUGAGCAAUGGUGCUAUCAGUGGCUUCAGUAAGAGCAGGAUGCGGGGCACGGGUAGUGCCAGCCAAAGGAUACACACGUGUUACUGCUUCAAUGCCUUCAACGUUCCGAGAGAAACUUUGAUGCUCUGCAUUCUGAAGACUUAGAGGUUCCUUGGCAGGCUCAGGAUAUAUGGCUUCAAUAGACAUAUCCACAUCAGGCAAAAAGAUCCGAUGAUUGCGGGCAGAUGGCUGAUAUGAGAUAGCAGAGUGAAGUUUGAUCAGCCGCAUCACCCAAGGGGCGUAGAACUUCAACCCAAAUAGAUCAGAGCCAGAUGCAGCAAGUUGGCGAAUGAAGAAAUCCUAUGUAUUGAAGCAUUUUCCAUGAAGAAUAUAGAAGACCAAAGUCUUCAUUGCACCUUCCAGCUGGGCAUGGGGAGAAUGUCCUUUGAUUGGCCAGAGAGUUCGCCUUAUGAUAUGAUAAAUGGUCCUUGGCAGAUACUCAAGGUCUUCAACAAAGAACUCCGUGGGAUAAGCAGCAUCUUGGGGCAAUGGCUUCAUCAUACUGAGCAUCUGACUCAUAUUGGGUUCAGUCUUCUGAAAGAUGCUCUCAACAGCUUCAAUGUGAAGCUGACAGCCAUGCUCAUAGAGAUCGCCAGGAGUGGGCAAGCCAGUGAGCUCAAUGAUGUCAAAGACUUUGGCUUCGUGAUGAACAUUUCCAGUCAUCCACUCUAGGACCCAAGUCUUUGGAUCUCUGUUAUACCCGCGGAUGUGAAGUGUGGCAUAGAACUGGAGCAGCAACUCUUCAUUCCAAUGCUCUUGGUCAGUGACGAAUGGUAGCAGCCCAACUUCAUUGAAGCAAUCCAAAGCUUCUUCCAGACAGGCAGACCAGCUAUAGCUUCAAUGUCAAGGCGCUUGUGUGGGAAGAUGCGACCUUUGUUGUAAAGAAUGCAUGAGUAAUAGCUUCGCUGCUGAUAGCUCCAGAACCGAUCAGAUGAUAUUCUUUCCCUGGAGUAGGGGUUCCUGGAGCUAUUGAAGAAUGUGUUGUCUGCUCUGAAGCCAUUGAUGUUAAAGGAGCCAGGUGCUAAUGCAGGACCUGGGAACCUGGGCAAUCUUGGGAUUGGCUUCUGGACCUGAGGCCUGUGCUCAACAUGAUAGUCGAAUUGGGGACCGGCAGCAGACGCAGGAACAGGAGCAGCAGGAUUAGUGGCUUCGCUGACUUCUGGUGCUGUUGGGGGUGAGGGCUCCACAUUAGCUUCAGCCAUGACGGUGUCAGUGGCUUCAGUGGUGUUGGUGGUGGCAGCCUCUAGAUUUUCAACCUCCACUUGACGAGCUGGAGGGUCGGUCAUGAUCACGUUCUCCUCGAGAACCGCUUCUUGGUGGGGCAGGGGAGUAGCAGCUUGUGGAACUUCUUCUUCCGUGGCUGAUGCAGCUAGAUUGUCUUCAGCAGAGACUUGAGGCCUUGGACCUUUGUGAAGCCUGCGCAACGCGGGCGAUGCCUGUGGAGCUGGAGUGGGCUGGGCCUCAUAGUCUUCUUCCUCUUGUUGGCGAUCCGCCCAUGAAGCAUCCUGUGCCAUUGGCGUCAGUGGACGACCAAUGCUGAUGAGUUCGUUGUUUUCAAGCUGAGGAAGAACUGCACCAUCUUCUACAUGGUCAUGUUGACCAAUGUCUUCAGCAGUGAUGGGAUCAGCUGUUGGAAAGUCUUUAGCUUUAUGAGCCUCUGUGGAAGCAGGCUCAUGGAUUGUCAGUUGGCGUUCAGCUUCAGGAUAGACCAUUGAAAUAGGUUCAACUAUCAAAGGCUCUGUGGGAGCAGCCUGUUCCUUCUUGGUCUUUCGUUUCUUCUUGGAGGGGGCAGUAGGAGAGGCUUCAGGAUGUUUCCUCUUCCUGGCUUCAGCCUCAGCAGUCCUUGUCUUCUUGAGCUCUGAAGCGGUUGACCGGCUUUUUGGCUUCAAGCCAGUCAGUCUAGUUGGGAAGACAAUCGGAACUGCUUCCUGCCUUGGUGCGUCGGAUUCAGCCGUAGCAGUCUUCUUCUUCUUCUUUGCGGCCAUCCUAGGGUCAAUGCCAGGACGCCCAAGGGCCUUGCGCUUCUCAGCCUCAUUGUAGGCUUGCACACAUCUGUCAGCCAGAGCCUUCAUGCGCUCACGUGAAUCCCGAGCUUCUGCACAUUUCUUCAGAAAGGCUUCCUUGAGCUCGUGCAUCAUGAUCUUGAAGUUCUUCACUUCUUGCACACUGAGCUUGGCCAUAUGCUUCUUGAACUGAGCCUUUUCAUAGUCAAUCUUCUGCUUUAGUUCAACAACGUGUCGGGCGAUGGCUAGCUCUGAAGCAAUGGCGCCUUGGAAGGCGACACUGAGGCCAAUGGGUAGCUGCAGAUCAUCAAAGCUGAUGUUUGGCAUAUCAAACCACUCGUCAAUGAAGUUGUGGAUGAUGGUUACAUCAAAGAGAGGCAGAUCAUUGAAGAUUUCGGCUUCUUCUUUGCUCUUGAUGAGUUGCUCAAGAGCGUCAUCUGCAAGAUCUUCAUCACUUGACAGAUCAAUGUCAUCAUUGCGCAGAAUGGCAGCAGCUGUUAGCUCUUGGCCGGUGUGUGGCAGAGGCAUCUUGGCCUUCUAGGGCUUGGAGAUGCGUGAUAAAUCUUCGGACUGCACACUGUCUUCAGGAGAUGCAGUUGCCAGUGGCUUCGCCCUUGAGAUUUUUGGUGAAGGGGCAGGCUUUGAAGCUUUGGGCUUCUUCAACUUCUUUGGUGUUGGCGCUGCAGGCGCUUCAUCUGAUUCAGCGUUAGCUGCAGGCUCAUUCACGGUUGUCCCUUGAACCAAGAUAUGGGUGAUGAGUCCUGCAAGGUUGUAGAAAGGACCGACGACAUUGGGUUCCGCAUCGCGUGUGCCGUCAGCCCUUGGAGCAGAAGGACCAGGGUUGAAGUCUAAUCCAAAAGACUUCUUGUUCUGCUUUGCUGAGUUCUUGGCAAACUGGAAGUUGCGCUUGAAUAGAUUGUCGUCACGGCACCAUAGUAGUGACGAUGGGUGUGCAUCUGCAGGCUGUGGCCCACGCACCAUGCAGGGAUAGAAGCCUUGUUCAAUGGCUUCUUCUCUGGACCUGGGUUGAAGAUUCUUGUAUAGGAUGUCUCCCCAUGGUCUCUUGAUGGCAUUUCUCUCAGCAUAUUCCUGGGUCACAAACCGGUAUUUGAACCAUUGUUCUGCCCAAUAUCUUCGAAUCCAUUGGAUUCGGGUCUUGCGCUGAUUAUAAUCCUGUUCAGGAUCUGUCUUGUAAAGCUCUGAGAGGUCAUCAGGAAAAUCUCUUGAUGUCCCCCCACGACGCUGUCUGCCACCCUUCCUUACUGAUUUCUCUGCAGCCAUGAACUUCAAACUGAAAGGCUUCAAAACGUUCAAAGGCUUCAAAGGUUUUCGCUUGCUGGACAAACAGGAACUGGCUUCGGGAGAAUUUAUAUGAUGCUGUAAGAAUUCUGCAAAUGAAUGCAGACUAUGAGAACCAAGGGAUUCUCCCAUGGACAUGUACCUGUGACAACAUUAAGGUGCAAGGGAAGGGGAAGAGGUCAUAUGCAUUCUCAGGAGAUUUUGAAGAUAAAUCAGUUUAGAAGACAUUGACCUCAUCGUGCGAAGACAUUCACUCAUAGAUAAGGAGUUGGUUCCAGAUUUGUACGAAUCCAGUGAUCAGUACAAGUGAGGAAUCUAACUACUUGUGAAGCAUAAGUGAAUAUACUAGGCAUGUUAUGAGAUGCAGUAGGAAAGAGAUCCAACUUGUGUGAAUAGAAACUUCUUAUGGUAGAAAGUGACAAAGCCAUAGGAUCAAAAGGGGCCGUAAAAAGAAGUUUUAUUUACCACACUUGGAACUGCUAGAUGGAGUGGAAGAGGAGGCCGAGCAGUUCGAUCUUCUGUGCCCUAACUUGGCGACGAAGGACACCUACGGCGACGGCGGAGAGGACGAUGUCCGCGGUCGGUGUGAAGACGGCGUCGGAGAGGUUGCGGCAGUGAAGCGCUUCGUCGCCGGCGUCGUCGAGGGCUAGCAGUGGCACUAGGGUUCGUGCGAGGGUGGAAGAAGAGAUGAUGACCGCUGUGAAGGGUGUAUUUAUAGGUACAGGGGCGGCACUGCGUUAUUACACAGGUGCCCCUGGCGAUUCACAUCUGAGGAACACGUGGCCAUCAUGCAGUAUAUUGGGGUUUGUUCCACGUCUCACGCACGCCUAGAUUGUCGGGUGGUCGUUCCUACUUCUCCGGGUUUCAUGUGGAGGAAUGGGCAUUGAAAACGGACUUAAUGUUUGUCUCUGUAUGUUCUGCUGACAAGGACGCAGAGAAGACAUUCGACAGUUUCAAUAGAAUGCAUAUGAUUUGGAGAGAUAGAGUUUGAGAUAGAGAGCACAGAGAGGUUAGGGUCCGAUCACAUUCACUUAGAUCAAAAGAUUCAACAAGAAGACAUAGCUAUAAGUGAAUACUGUAGAGGACAGAACACUAGUAUAUAUAUAUAUAUAUAAUCAACAUAGUGAAGAUAAUCAUGAAAACAUGUUGAGAUUGAAACCAAACCAAAUGUGAAGUCAUAGCAAGGUAAUGCCAUGAGUGAAACACUUCAAAUAGAACAUUUGGUGGUGGCGUUACCCACCGUAUAGGAAGUAUUAGACCCAGACACGGCGCACAAUUAUCGUGGCGCUCCGAAGUCAAAUUCCACAUUAAUGUAUUCACACUUAGAAUGUAUGUCUUCAUUGAUUGAAGAUAUACUUUACUUCGUGUGUUGCACAUCUAAGUCAUCAAUAUGCAUAAGGGUUAGGAUGUGUGCCUGAUCACAGGACAUUUGAGGAUUCCAGGAUAUUUAGCUCACAUCGUAACUUGCAAAAUCUCUUCUCAUCCAAGGGCUUGGUGAAGAUAUCUGCCAAUUGCUCUUCAGUGUUGACGUGUAUGAUAUCAAUAUCUUCCUUCACAACAUGAUCUCUGAGAAAGUGAUGACGAAUUUCAAUGUGCUUUGUCUUCGAGUGCUGAACAGGGUUGUUGGCAAUCUUGAUGGCGCUUUCGUUGUCACAGUAGAGUGGCACUUGCUUCAGAUGAAUGCCAUAGUCCUUGAGGGUUUGCUUCAUCCACAGAAGCUGAGCGCAGCAAGAUCCAGCAGCAAUGUAUUCAGAUUCAGCAGUGGAGAGAGAUACACAGUUCUGCUUCUUUGAAGACCAACAUACAGGUGAUCGUCCCAGAAAAUGACAUGUGCCUGAUGUAGACUUGCGAUCCACCUUGUCACCAGCAUAAUCAGCAUCCGAGAAUCCAACCAGAUCAAACUCUGAGCCCUUUGGAUACCAUAAUCCUAGAGUUGGGGUGUGAGCCAAAUAUCGAAGAAUUCGCUUCACAGCUAGGUGAUGCGACUCCUUUGGUGCCGCUUGAAAUCGAGCACACAUGCAAACACUAAGCAUAAUAUCUGGCCUAGAUGCACAUAGAUAAAGCAAAGAACCAAUCAUGGAGCGGUAUACCUUUUGAUCGAACUCUUUACCAUUGUCGUCAGGACCCAGAUGAUGCUUGGCUGGUAUUGGCGUCGUGAACCCUUUGCAGUCUUGCAUACCGAACUUCUUAAGGCAAUCCUUGAGAUGCUUCUCUUGAGAUAUGAAGAUGCCGUUGCGUUGCUGUCGUAUUUGAAUACCGAGGAAAAACUUCAGCUCUCCAUCAUGGACAUCUGAUAUUGCUCUUGCAUCAUAUAUCCAAACUCUUCACUGUACUUCUGAUUGGUGCAGCCGAAGAUAAUGUCAUCCACAUAUAUUUGGCACACAAACAGUUAACCAUCAUAUGUCUUCGUGAAGAGAGUGGGGUCGAGGGAACCAGGUAUGAAGCCUUUGCUCUUCAGGAAGUAUUUGAGUGUGUCAUACCAGGCCCGAGGGGCUUGUUUGAGGCCAUAUAGUGCCUUGUUGAGCUUGUAUACCGUAUCAGGAUGUUUUAGAUCUUCAGAGCCAGGUGGUUGUGCAACAUACACUUCUUCUUCAAUCUUUCCAUUGAGAAAGGCGCUCUUCACAUCCAUUUGAUAAAGAAGUAUGUUGUGAUGAUUUGCAUAGGCCAGCAGUAUGCGUAUGGCUUCAAGUCUAGCCACAGGAGCAAAUGUUUCAUUGAAGUCAAUGCCUUCCACUUGAGUAUAUCCUUGAGCAACUAGACGAGCUUUGUUUCUGACAACUUGACCAUGCUCAUCUUGCUUGUUGCGGUAUAUCCAUUUUGUGCCUAUUAUGUUGUGCUUCCGAGGAUCAGGACGCUUAACCAGUUCCCAUACAUUAUUCAGCUCAAACCGUUGAAGCUCUUCUUGCAUAGCUUGAAUCCAUUCAGGUUCCAUGAAGGCUUCUUCCACUUUCUUGGGUUCUGUUAUUGAGACGAAUGCGAAGUGCCCACAGAAAUUUGCCAGCUGGGUUGCCCUUGAUCGACUGAGCGGACCAGGUGCAUUGAUGCUGUCAAUUAUUCUCUCAAUUUGCACUUCAUUGGCAACACGAGGAUGUACAGGGCGAAGACUUUGCUCUUGCUGAUCAUUGUCGUUGUUGGAGGGAUUGUCUUCAGGUUGAGCAUUGUCUUCAGGUUGAUCUGGUGCAGAGAUGAUGAGUUCCUCUUCAGGAUGAGCUUUAGAAGGUAUGAUUUCUCCAGUUCCCAUUAGCUUGAUUGAUUCACUGGAUGGAACUUCAUCUAGCACAUUUGGCAGGUGCUCUCUUUGUGAACCGUUAGUCUCAUCGAACCGCACAUCCACGGUUUCAACCACUUUAUAAUGAAAGAGGUUGAAGACUCUGUAGGAGUGCGAAUCCUUUCCAUAUCCAAGCAUAAAACCCUCAUGUGCUUUUGGGGCAAACUUUGAAGUGUGAUGUGGGUCCUUGAUCCAGCACCUUGCGCCAAAUACUCUGAAGUAACUGGCAUUUGGCUUCUUGCCAGUGAGGAGCUCAUACGAUGUCUUGUUCAGAAGCUUGUGAAGAUAAACACGAUUGAUUGUAUGGCAUGCAGUAUCAAUGGCUUCAGGCCAGAAUUUUCUUGGAGUCUUGUAUUCAUCUAGCAUUGUUCUGGCCAUCUCAAUGAGUGUUCUGUUCUUGCAUUCGACGACGCCAUUCUGCUGUGGCGUGUACGGGGCUGAGAAUUCAUGUGUGAUGCCCAAGGUAUCAAGAUAUGUAUCAAGGCCAGUGUUCUUGAAUUCAGUGCCAUUGUCACUUUUGAUGUGCUUUAUCUUGGCACCAUAGUUGUUCAUUGCUCGAUUGGCGAAGCGUUUGAAGACAUCCUGCACUUCAGUCUUGUAAAGGAUUAUAUGCACCCAAGUGUAUCUAGAAUAAUCAUCAAUAAUGAAGAAGCCAUAGAGACAAGCAGUAGUAGUAAGAGUUGAGUAAUGAGUGGGACCGAAAAGAUCCAUGUGAAGCAGCUCGAAGGGUCGAGUAGUAGUCAUGAUUGUCUUCGAGGGAUGCUUGGCCCUCGUCAUCUUUCCUGCUUCACAGGCACCGCAUAAGUGAUCUUUCUUGAACUUGACGCCCUCAAUGCCUAUGACAUGCUUCUUCUUUGCCAGGGUGUGGAGGUUCCUCAUGCCAGCAUGCCCAAGCCUCCGAUGCCAGAGCCAGCAUUCUGAAGCUUUUGCUAGAAGACAUACGGCAAGUUGUGGUCCUGCUGAGAAAUCUACCACGUACAGAUCGUCUUUCCGAUACCCUUCAAACACUAGAGACUUGUCAGAUUCCAUUAGAACAAGGCAACAAUAUUUUCCAAAUAUUACGAUCAUGUUCAAAUCGCAUAGCAUUGAGACAGACAUUAAGUUGAAGCCAAGGGAUUCAACAAGCAUGACUUUAUCCAUGUGUUGAUCCUUUGAGAUUGCAACUCUACCUAGACCCAAUACCUUACUUUUACCAGUGUCAGCAAAUGUGAUGUGGCUCUUGUCGGAAGGACGUAAGGUUGAGUCCAUCAGAAGGCUUCUUUUGCCAGUCAUGUGAUUUGUACACCCACUAUCAGUAAUCCAUUCUGUAUACGCUGGUGUCGUACCCUACAGUGCAGUUAGGGGGAUAGGCUUCACGAAGAGAGUUGUGAAGCAAAAACAUUUGACGAACCAGUGGGUUAUGAAAGCUUAGAUCCAGAUUAGUACUGAUAGGGAGAGUAGCAAGCGAUUCAGGAACGAAGUACAUAGUAAGACCAUUCGGCAUUUGAUCUUGCGCCCUACAAGAUGUUUAAGGUCCCCAGCGAUAGCGUCAGAAGAUUUUGGUUUUCUGCUGGAGACCUUUCCCUGCAAAAGAGAGUUAAGCCUUCUUAACAACCCACAUCUUCAAGGGUGGCUUAGAAGCGAUAAGUCUAAGUGCAGAGUCUGAAAACUUUGGCUUUGGGGCUCUAGCAAAAAGUCUUGCAGGUGGACAAUAAUACUCAUAAGAAUAAGCAGAAUAGUUUUUGGUCUUAUGAACAUGGCGGUUCGAUGAACCGCGCUCAUAUUCAUAGGCCUGAGUAUGGUUUCCCUGCAAAACAUUUGCAUUAGUCCGACUCAGGUGAGUCCUCUGUCUGUAUGAAGCCUUUGGGCCAUAUGAAGCCUGUGGUCUGGGGUUUGUCUUCUUCAUCUAUGGUGUCAUGAUGACAUUCACAGGAAGAUUUUCCAAACACCUUUUGGGCACCCAGACCUUCUUCAUAGGCGGUCCAUUCCUGCAGUUAGUACCAAUGUACCUGGCAAAAACUUCACCAUUCUGAUUCUUAAAUAGUUUAUAGUUUGCAUCAAAGGAUUCAUCAAUGACAAUGGGGUUAGCACAAGUGAAGCCAGAUAGACUGGAUGGAUUUGCUGAAGGUUCCUUUGCAGCAACCCAUGUGGUUUUGGGAUACUGCUCGGGUUUCUAGUAAGAGCCAUCAGCAUUCAUUUUCCUUAUGAACCCAACACCCUCUUUCCUCGGGUUUCGGUUCAGAAUCUGCCUUUUGAGGACAUCACAUAGUGUCUGAUGCCCUUUAAGACUUUUGUACAUCCCUGUUUCAAGCAAUGUCUUCAACCUAGCAUUCUCAUCAGCAAUCGCAGUAGUAUCCUCAGUAGAGGGGUUAGUUACCACAUCAACAGUUGAAGAUAUUGCAACAGUAGCAGUAGUAGAACAUUCAGCAACAGAAGCAGCAUUAUCACGCUCAAUGCAUUUAAGACAUGGUGGUUCAAAUCCUUCCUGAGCGGAACUGAUCUGUUCGGCGCGAAGUGACUCGUUUUCCUUUUGAAGAUCUUCAUGAGCCGCUCUCAAUUUCUCAAGAUCUUGCUUCCUUUGAAGAUAAUCAUAGGAAAGCUUUUCAUGAGUUGUUGAGAGCGUUUCAUGACAACUUUCAAGUUCCUCAUAUUUAACGUGAAGAUUUUUUAUGUCUUGAAUUAAGGAUUCAGAUCGAGUCAUUUCAACGCCCAACAAAUCAUCGCUUUUGUCUAACAGUUUUUGAAUAUGUUCCAUGGCUUUCUGUUGUUCAGUUGCAAUUUUAGCAAGUGUUUUGUAGCUGGGUCUUGAAUCACAAUCAGAGUCAUCAUCACUAGAUGUUUGAUAGUGAGUAGUGCGUGUGUUUACCUUGGCACCGUGUGCCAUGAAGCAGUAGGUAGGAGCAGAGUCGUCCUUGUCAUUUGCAUCGGCGUCGGUGGUGAAGUCAUUGUCUUCAGUGUUGAAGAUGGACUUGGCAACGUAUGCUGUAGCCAGACUUGCAACACCAGAAUCGGACUCCUCCUCAGACUCCACCUCCGCCUCCUCAGACGCGGACUCCUCCUCUGAAUCCAUUUCCUUGCCAACAAACGCACGUGCCUUGCCAGAUGAGCUCUUCUUGUGUGAUGAAGACUUUGAGGAAGACUUGGAAGAAGACUUUGAGUAUUUCUUCUUCUUCUUGUCGUCAGAGUCAUAUUCCUUGCUCUUCUUCUUCUUUCUAUUCUCAUUGUCCCACUGCGGACACUCAGAGAUGAAGUGGCUAGUUUUCUUGCACUUGUGACAUGUUUUCUUCUUGUAGUCAUGAGCAGAAGCUUCAUCAUUCCUUGAGCUUGAUCGUGAAGACUUUCUGAAGCCUUUCUUCUUGGGGAAUCUUUGGAACUUCUUUACAAGCAUAGCAAGUUCCUUUCCAAUGUCUUCAGGAUCGUCAGAACUGCUGUCAGAUUCUUCUUCAGAUGAGGAGACAACUUUUGCCUUCAGGGCACGAGUUCGCCCAUAGUUUGGACCGUAGAUAUCUCUUUUCUCAGAAAGCUGAAACUCAUGUGUGUUGAGCCUCUCAAGUAUGUCGGACGGAUCGAGUAUCUUGAAAUCAGGUCGUUCUUGAAUCAUCAGGGCUAGGGUGUCAAACAAACUGUCAAGUGAUCUCAGUAGUGUCUUGACGACUUCAUGCUUGGUGAUCUCAGUGGCGCCGAGCGCUUGAAGCUCAUUUGUGAUGUCAGUGAGUCGGUCAAAUGUGAGCUGGACAUUCUCAUUGUCAUUUCGCUUGAAGCGGUUAAAGAGGUUGCGAAGAACGCUGAUUCUCUGAUCUCUCUGGGUUGAGACGCCUUCGUUGACCUUGGAGAGCUAGUCCCAGACCAGCUUCGAUGUUUCCAAAGUGCUCACACGGCCAUACUGUCCUUUGGUCAGAUGACCACAGAUAAUGUUCUUGGCAGUAGAGUCCAGUUGAACGAACUUCUUGACAUCAGCAACAGUGACACCUUCUCCAGCCUUGGGAACGCCGUUCUUGACGACAUACCAUAGGUCGACGUCAAUGGCUUCAAGAUGCAUGCGCAUCUUAUUCUUCCAGUAGGGAUAUUCAGUUCCAUCGAAGACGGGGCACGCAACGGAGACUUUAAUUAUCCCUGCAGUCGACAUAGCUAAAACUCCAGGUGGUUAAACCGAAUCACACAGAACAAGGGAGCACCUUGCUCUCAUACCAAUUGAAAGUGCAUUAUAUCGACUAGAGGGGGUGACUAGGCGAUUUUUAUGAAAGUCUUAAAAACAUGGAAGUUUCGAAGACAAAUGAUAGAAAUAAACCUAUUACCAUGCAGCGGAAGUUAGACUACACUAGAUAAACCAUAGUCAUGUAUUCAAUGAAGUGAAAGGACAAUGACUAAUAGUAGCUAGGUAGUAAGGAUCAGGCAGGAAGAUAUUAAGAAGCCAAACGGAUCACACAGUCACUCAGUGAAGACAAAAGAUAGAGCAAACAUACAAUGACUUCACACAGAGUAACAGUAAGUAAAGAGAAGGGAAGGAUGAAACCAGUGACUCGUUGAAGACAAAUAUUUGUUGGACCAGUUCCAGUUGCUGUGACAACUGUACGUCUGGUUAGGGCGGCUAGGUAUUUAAACCAAAGGACACAUAGUCCCGGACACCCAGUCCUGAACACGCAGCUCAGGACACCCAGUCCUCACAGUAUUCCCCUUGAGCUAAGGUCACACAGACCUCGCCCAAUCACUCUGGUAAGUCUUCAAGGUAGACUCCCAAACCUUCACAGACUUCGUUCACCGGCAAUCCACAAUGUCUCUUGGAUGCUAUAACGCGACGCCUAACUGGCUGGAGGAUGCACAGUCCUCAAGUGUAAUAAGUCUUCAUAUCACUCAGACAAGAAGACUUAAGUGAUGCCUAAUUCUCUUUGGCUCUGGGUGGUUAGGGCUUUAUCCUCGCAAGGAAUUCUCUCUCAAAGGCUUCGAGGUGGGUUGCUCUCAAACGACAAAAGCCGUACUCUGAAUCCGAGCAGCCAACCGUUUAUGGUUGUAGGGGGUGGGCUAUUUAUAGCCACUAGGCAACCCGACAUGAUUUGUCCGAAAUGACCCUGGGUCACUAAGGAACUGACACGUGUUCCAACGGUCAGAUUUCAAACUCACACGGCAACUUUACUUGGGCUACAAGCAAAGCUGACUUGUCCGACUCUGGACAAGAUUUGCUCUCAUAGUCUUCACUCGAAGACAUAGGUUUUUGUUUAAGCAUCACUUCAGUCAUUCUGACUGGUUCUCUUGGACCCCACUUAACAGUGCGGUGGUUCCUAUGACUCAACACAGAAGAAAAAGAACUACGAAAGAUCUAAGUCUUCGAGCUCCAUAGGCUUCAUGCAGUGUCUUCUCUUGUCAUAGUCUUCAAUGUGAAUAUCUUCAUAUACCACCUUUGACAUCAAUGUCUUCAUACAUUUUUAGGGGUCAUCUCUGGUGGGAAAACCAAAUCAAUGAGGUACUUCUACCUGUGUUAUCCUGCAAUUCUCAUAAACACAUUAGUCCCUCAACUAGGUUUGUCGUCAAUACUCCAAAACCAACUAGGGGUGGCACUAGAUGCACUUACACAGUCGUCUCUAAAGCAUAACCCCAAAAUGAUAGCAGUAAAUUAGUAAGAGACAUCAUAGAUCGCACCAUAUCUAAUAAAGUGCGGUUACGAUGUUCGGACACACCAUUAUGUUGUGGUGUUCCGUGUGGCGUGAGUUGCGAAACUGUUCUGCAUUGUUUCAAAUGAAGACCAAACACGUAACUCAAAUAUUCACCUCCACGAUCAGAUUGUAGAAACUUUAUUUUCUUGUUACGAUAUUUUUCCUCUUCACUCUGAAUUUUUUUGAACUUUUCAAAUGUUUCAGACUUAUGUUUCAUCAAGUAGAUAUACCCAUAUCUGCUCAAAUCAUCUGUGAAGGUCAGAAAAUAACAAUACCCGCCGCGAGCCUCAACACUCAUCGGACCGCAUACAUCCGUAUGUAUUAUUUCCAACAAGUCUAUUGCUCACUCCAUUGUUCCGGAGAAUGGAGUCUUAGUCAUCUUGCCCAUGAGGCAUGGUUCGCAAGCAUCAAGUGAUUCAUAAUCAAGUGAUUCCAAAAGUCCAUCAGCAUGGAGUUUCUUCAUGCGCUUUACACCAAUAUGACCUAAACGGCAGUGCCACAAAUAAGUUGCACUAUCAUUAUUAACCUUGCAUCUUUUGGCUUCAAUAUUAUGAAUAUGUGUGUCACUAUUGUCGAGAUUCAAUAAAAAUAGAUCACUCAUCAAGGGUGCAUGACCAUAAAAGAUAUUACUCAUAUAAAUAGAACAACCAUUAUUCUCUGAUUUAAAUGAAUAUCCGUCUCGCAUCAAACAAGAUCCAGAUAUAAUGUUCAUGCUUAACGUUGGCACCAAAUAACAAUUAUUCAGGUCUAAAACUAAUCCCGAUGGUAGAUGUAGAGGUAGCAUGCUGACGGCGAUCACAUCGACUUUGGAACCAUUUCCCACGCGCAUCGUCACCUCGUCCUUAGCCAAUCUUCGCUUAAUCCGUAGCCCAUGUUUCGAGUUGCAAAUAUGAGCAACAGAACCAGUAUCAAAUACCUAGGCGCUACUACGAGCAUUAGUAAGGUACACAUUAAUAACAUGUAUAUCAAAUAUACCUUUCACUUUGCCAUCCUUCUUAUCCAUCAAAUACUUGGGGUAGUUCCGCUUCCAAUGACCAGUCCCUUUGUAGUAGAAGCAUUCAGUCUCCGGCUUAGGUCCAGACUUGGGCUUCUUCACUUGAGCAACAACUUGCUUGUCAUUCUUCUUGAAGUUCCCCUUCUUCCCUUUGCCCUUUUUCUUGAUACUGGUGGUCUUGUUGACCAUCAACACUUGAUGCUCCUUCUUGAUUUCUACCUCUACAGCCUUUAGCAUUGCGAAGAGCUCGGGAAUUGUCUUAUCCAUCCCUUGCAUAUUAUAGUUCAUCAUGAAGCUUUUGUAGCUUGGUGGCAGUGAUUGAAGAACUCUGUCAAUGACACUAUCAUCAGGAAGAUUAACUCCUAGUUGAGUCAAGUGGUUGUGGUACCUGGACAUUUUGAGUAUAUGUUCACUAACAAAACUAUUCUCCUCCAUCUUACAGCUGUAGAACUUAUUGGAGACUUCAUAUCUCUCAAUCCGGGCAUUUGCUUGAAAAUUUUACUUCGACUCCUGGAACAUCUCAUAUGCUCCAUGAUGUUCAAAACGUUGUUGAAGUCCCGAUUCUAAGCCGUAAAGCAUGGCACACUAAACUAUCGAGUAGUCAUCGGCUUUGCUCUACCAGACGUUCAUAAUGUCCGGUGUUGCUUGAUACGUCUCCGUCGUAUCUACUUUUCCAAACACUUUUGUCCUUGUUUUGGACUCUAACUUGCAUGAUUUGAAUGGAACUAACCCGGACUGACGCUGUUUUCAGCAGAAUUACCAUGGUGUUAUUUAUGUGUAGAAAUAAAAGUUCUCGGAAUGACCUGAAACUUCAGGGAACGUCUUUUUGGAAAUAAUAAAAAAUCCUUGCAAAAGAUGAAGACCAGGGGGCCCACACCCUAGCCACGAGGGUGGGGGCGCGCCUGCCCCCCUAGGCGCGACCCCUACCUUGUGGGCCCCCUGGAGCUCCUCCGACCUCAACUCCAACUCUAUAUAUUUGCUUUCAGGGAGAAAAAAAUUAGAGAGAAGGAUUCAUCGCGUUUUACAAUACAGAGCCGCCGCCAAGCCCUAAAACCUCUCAGGAGGGCUGAUCUGGAGUCCGUUCGGGGCUCCGGAGAGGGGAAUCCGUCGCCAUCGUCAUCAUCAACCUUCCUCCAUCACCAAUUUCAUGAUGCUCACCGCCGUGCGUGAGUAAUUCCAUCAUAGGCUUGCUGGACGGUGAUGGGUUGGAUGAUAUUUAUCAUGUAAUCGAGUUAGUUUUGUUAGGGUUUGAUCCCUAGUAUCCACUAUGUUGUGAGAUUGAUGUUGCUAUGACUUUGCUAUGCUUAAUGCUUGUCACUAGGGCCCGAGUGCCAUGAUUUCAGAUCUGAACCUAUUAUGUUUUCAUCAAUAUAUGAGUGUUCUUGAUCCUAUCUUGCAAGUCUAUAGUCACCUACUAUGUGUUAUGAUCUGGCAACCCCGAGGUGACAAUAAUAGGGACCACUCCCGGUGAUGACCGUAGUUUGAGGAGUUCAUGUAUUCAUUAUGUGUUAAUGCUUUGGUCUGGUACUCUAUUAAAAGGAGGCCUUAAUAUCCCUUAGUUUCCGCUAGGACCCCGCUGCCACGGGAGGGUAGGACAAAAGAUGUCAUGCAAGUUCUUUUCCAUAAGCACGUAUGACUAUAUUCGAAAUACAUGCCUACAUUACAUUGAUGAAUUGGAGCUAGUUUUGUGUCACCCUAGGUUAUGACUGUUACAUGAUGAACCGCAUCCGGCGUAAUUCUCUAUCACCGAUCCAUUGCCUACGAGCUUUCCAUAUAUUGUUCUUCACUUAUUUACUUUUCCGUUGCUAUUGCUAUCAUCACUACAAAAUACCAAAAACAUUAAUUUUGCUAUCGUUACCUUUUGCUACCGUUACCACUACUAUCAUAUUACGUUGCUACUAAACACUUUACUACAGAUAUUAAGUUUCUAGGUGUGGUUGAAUUGACAACUCAACUUUCAACUGCUAAUACUUGAUAAUAUUCUUUGGCUCCCCUUGUGUCGAAUCAAUAAAUUUGGGUUGAAUACUCUACCCUCGAAAACUGUUGCGAUCCCCUAUACUUGUGGGUUAUCAAGACUAUUUUCUGGCGUCGUUGCCGGGGAGCAUAGCUCUAUUCUUUGAGUCACUUGGGAUUUAUAUCUGUUUAUCAUUAUGAAGAACUUGAGAGAUCCAAAAACCAAGAUUUAUCUCUCAACUACGAGGGGAGGUAAGGAACUGCCAUCUAGCUCUGCACUUGAUUCACCUUCUAUUUUGAGUAAGCUUGCGACACCUAAACCUGCUUCUGCUAUUCAUUCUGAUAUGUCGCAUGUUAUUAAUGAUGCCACUUGUGCUAUGCAUGAUACUUAUGAUGAAACUACUUCUAUGCUUGAUACUACUGUGCCACUUGGUGAAUUUCUUGAUGAACAACUUGCUAGGGUUAGAGAGAAUGAAAUUAUUGAAACUGAUAAUAUAUAUAUAUAUAUUUGAAUAUAUACUGUAGGGUAAAACCCCCACAGCCCUUUAUUGCAGUCUCAAAAAACAAACUGUACAGUGAAAGAAAGAGAUGACAAGCCUAAACGAAAAGUUAAGAAGAACUUACAAUUACAUGAGGGAGUUAACUCAAUCUACAAGCCUAGACUUAGAGCUAUCCUUAAACCUAUGUGACAGGAGAAGAAUGUCAUGUACAAAACUGCCCCUCCAGGCAACAAAAGUAGCCCGUAGUCCCCUGAAAGUUCUUCCAUUUCUCAGAAUCCAUAUAUUCCAAGCAGCUGUGAGCAUAACUUCAAAGAAGAAAGGAUACCCAAAUCGCUGCCUUGCUUGAGAUAUACAUUGCUGAAUAGAAGAACCAUGUGACCAAUCGAUCUGCAGGUAUUUCCAAACCCUGGCACUGAAAUUACAACCAAAGAAUAGGUGAGCCCUGUCCUCCCAAACAAAGGCAUUACAGAUGACACAUAGAUGAUCAGCCGUAGGGGACCUCCGGUGGCUGCGGACCAGCACGUCCUUUGUGUUGAGUCUGUCAAAGAAUAGGAGCCAGCCAAAAACCUUAAUUUUCAUAGUACAUAUGCUCUGCCAAAGCCACCUGCAGGGUUUAAUAGUUGGGAGGUGUGUAUGCAUGAUGUCAUAGAAGCUCUUUGCAGAAAACUGUCCAGAUUUACCAGGCCAAAUCCAAACAUCAGGCAAUGUUGGAUCUCUCUGGAGAUUGAACAUCCUUCCUUCCAAGGAUUCCAAUUCUGCUGCUGCCUGCUGAGAAAUUGGCAGAUGAAACAUUGAGAACAAAUCCUGGGUUUGCAAAAACUCCCUGACAGAAACCUUAUCAUCCAAAACAAAAGAGAAAAGCCUUGGUAAUCUGAGGCUUAGUGGCCUUGAAGAGCCACCUACAUGGCAAGCAUCCAGCCAAAAGAGAGCAGAAUCACCCAUAUUAACUGGCACUGAAGCAAUUGACCUAUAAGUGUCAGCAAGCUUGAGAAUGUCCUUCCACCAAAAGGAGCCAGUUAGGACUGUUGCAUGGGGCACCACUCCAUCAUAAUAACUAUCCCAAAUCAACUGGACCCAAGGAAUCUGCUGUUUGUUGUAGAACUUAUGCAUUUGUUUGAGAAGCAGACCUUGAUUUUGAACAUUGAGGUUGAGAAUGCCAAGUCCUCCCUUAUCCUUUGGUCUGCAAACUAAAUCACAGGCAGCUAGGGAUUGCUUAGGCACAUCAGAAUUUCCUCUCCACAAACACUGCCUGAAAAUCCUAUCCAACUGUUUGAUAAUACCAGGUGGGAUAUGCAAGCUGCAGAGGAAGUAUAUGGGCAUUGAAGUAAGCACAGAUGUGAGAAAUUGUAACCUGGAUCCUUGGUUGAGCAUGGCAGAGCUAACAGACAGUCUUCUUUCAAGACUAUCCACUAAAGGCAUGAAAUCAAUGAUUCUAGGUCUUGUUGUACCAAGAGGCAAACCCAGAUAUGUGAAAGGUAACUGCUCCGGUUUACAUCCCAGGAUGGAAGACAACCUCUGUGCCUCUGUGGGAUCAACAUUUAGUGGCACCAUUGAAGACUUUCCAAAAUUUACCUUUAGGCCAGUAGACUGUUGGAAAAUAUGGAGCAUGUUCUUGAGAGCCACCAACUGGUCCUGUACUGCAGAAAGGAUAAUUAUUGUGUCAUCUGCAUACUGAAUGAUAGGAAAUUCAGGGUCCUAAGAUGGGAUUGGAAGUGUUAGAACUCCCUUAGCCAGCAUGUUAUUGACCAUUGUUUGAAGAAGAUCGGCAGCUAUGACAAAUAAAAGAGGGGAUAGGGGAUCCCCCUGCCUGACCCCACAUUUAUAUUUGAACUGUUUGCCAGGCACCCCAUUAAGCAAAACAGAUGAUGAUCCUGAGGAGAGAAUCUCUUUAAUCCAAGAAAUCCAUUUGGCAUCAAAACCUUUGUGCUGUAGAACUUGCAAGAUGAAGUCAUGCUCCACAGUGUCAAAAGCUUUGGCAAAAUCCAAUUUCAAAAUGAUGGUUGGCCUUUUGGAUUGAUUGCAUUGAUGUAUAUAUUCAAAAGCCCAAGCCAGGCAGUCCUGAAUGGCUCUGCUCUUCAAAAACCCAUAUUGAUUCUUAUGGAUGCAUUGCAGAAUGACCUUUUGAAGCCUAUUUCCCAAAAGCUUAGUAAGGAACUUGAGGCAUGUGUUAGUAAGAGAGAUUGGUCUAAAAUCCUCAAGUCCUUCAGGAGACAACAUCUUUGGAAUUAAGGUGAUAAGGGAUCCAUUAAUAUUUUCCAAAGAUAGCCUCCCAUCAUAAAACCCCUGAAUGAGAGCCAAGAAAUCCUUCUCAAUGAUGGGCCAACACUUCUUAACAAAAAGACCAUUAAAACCGUGAAAGUGAUGAUGAAGAUUCUCCCCCUAAUAAAUAUGAAUUGCCUGUUGUGCCUGAGGGCUAUGUUAUGGAUGAAGAAAUUGCUAAAGCUAUUUUUGUUUGCAAAGAUAGAUAUGAUCUUAAGAAGUUAUUAGCUAAAUGGAAGCAGCAAUCUCUUAAUGCUAGAAUGAAACCUGACCCUGCUUUUGCUACUUCACCUAUCUGUGUUACUGAUAAGGAUUAUGAAUUCUCUGUUGAUCCUGAUAUAAUUACUUUGGUUGAAUCUGAUCCUUUUCAUGGCUAUGAGUCUAAAACUGUUGUGGCACAUCUUACUAAAUUAAAUGAUAUAGCCACCCUAUUCACUAAUGAUGAGAGAACUCGUUACUUUUAUAUCCUUAAAAUAUUCCUGUUCUCAUUAAAGGGUGAUGCUAAGAUAUGGUUUAAUUCUCUUGAUCCUGGUUGUGUGCGUAGUCCCCAGGAUAUGAUUUAUUACUUCUCUGCUAAAUAUUUCACUGCUCAUAAGAAACAAGCUGCUUUGAGGGAUAUAUAUAAUUUUGUGCAAAUUGAAGAAGAGAGUCUCCCACAAGCUUGGGGGAGGCUUCUCCAAUUACUUAAUGCUUUGCCUGAUCAUCCUCUUAAGAAAAAUGAAAUAUUGGAUAUAUUUUAUAAUGGACUAAGUGAUGCUUCCAGAGAUUACCUGGAUAGUUGUGUUGGUUCUGUUUUCAAGGAAAGAACACCGGAUGAAGCUGAAAUUCUAUUGAAUAAUAUGUUGACAAAAGAAAAUAAUUGGACACUUCCUGAGCCAGCUCCUGAGCCUAUUCCUAAACCAACUCCGAAGAAGAGGGGUAUUCUAUUUCUCAGUCCUGAAGAUAUGCAAGAGGCAAAGAAAUCCAUGAAAGAAAAGGGUAUUAAAGCUGAAGAUGUUAAGAAUUUACCUCCUAUUGAAGAAAUACACGGUCUUAAUUUACCGCCUGUUGAAGAAACAUAUGAUCUUAAUCCAUUACCUAUUGAAGAAAUACAUGGUCUUGAUAACCCGACACAAGUAGUAAAGGUAAACUCUCUCUAUAGAUAUGAUAAAAUUGAAAUCCCUCUUACUAAGUUUGCUAGCCAAUGCUUAGAUGAGUUUGAUAAUUUUAUGGUGAAGCAAGAAGAUUUUAAUUCUUAUUUUGGUAGACAAUUGAAAUACAAUUCAAAUAUGCUUGAACACUUGGGUGAUUAUAUGGCUAAUGUUAAAGGUGAAAUUAAACUUAUUAGCAAACAUGCUUCUAUGGUUACCACUCAAGUAGAACAAGUACUUAAAGCUCAAAAUGAUUUGCUCAAUGAACUGAAUAGUAAGAAUAAUGAUAAUGCUGUUAGAGUUAUGACUAGAGGUGGUAAAAUGACUCAAGAACCUUUGUAUCCUGAAGGCCAUCAUAAGAGAAUUGAGCAAGAUUCUCGGAGAAAUAAUAUAGAUGCACCUAGUUCUUCUAAAAGGAAGAAAAAGAAAAAUGAUAGGACUUUGCAUGCUUCUAGUGAACCUAUUGAUGAAACACCUGAGAAUCCAAAUGAUAUUUCUAUUUCUGAUGCUGAAACACAAUCUGGUAAUGAACCUGAAACUAGUGAUAAUAUUAAUGAUAAUGUUCAUGUUGAUGCUCAACCUAGCAAUGAUAAUGAUAUAGAAAUUGAACCUGUUGUUGAUCUUGAUAACCCACAAUCAAAGAAUCAACGUUAUGAUAAGAGAGACUUUGUUGCUAGGAAACAUGGUAAGGAAAGAGAGCCUUGGGUUCAGAAACCCAUGCCUUUUCCUCCCAAACCAUCCAAGAAAAAGGAUGAUGAGGAUUUUGAGCACUUUGCUGAAAUGAUUAGACCUACCUUUUUGCGUAUGCGAUUAACUGAUAUGCUUAAAAUGAAUCCUUAUGCUAAGUACAUGAAAGAAAUUGUUACUAAUAAAAGAAAGAUACCGGAAGCUGAAAUUUCCACCAUGCUUGCUAAUUAUACUUUUAAAGGUGGAAUACCUAAGAAACUAGGAGAUCCCGGAGUACCAACUAUACCAUGCUCCAUUAAAAGAAAUUAUGUUAAAAUUGCUUUAUGUGAUCUUGGAGUCGGUGUUAGUGUUAUGCCUCUCUCUUUAUAUCAUAGACUUGAUUUGAAUAAGUUGACACCUACUAAAAUAUCUUUGCAAAUGGCUGAUAAAUCAACUGCUAUACCUAUCGGUAUUUGUGAGGAUGUGCCUGCUGUGGUUGCAAACGUUACUAUUUUAAUGGACUUUGUUAUUCUUGAUAUUCCCGAGGACGAUAGUAUGUCUAUUAUUCUUGGAAGACCCUUUUUGAAUACUGCAGGGGCUGUUAUUGAUUGCAACAAAGGCAAUGUCACUUUUCAUGUUAAUGGUAAUGAGCAUACGGUACACUUUCCGAGGAAACAACCUCAAGUCCACAGUAUCAAUUCUAUUGGAAAAAUUCAAUCGAUUAUUUUUGAAGGUUUUGAAUUUCCUCUUCCUACUGUCAAAAGAAAUAUGAUAUUCUUAUUAUUGGGGAUGUGCAUAUCCCCGUUGAGGUAACAUAGUGUUAUUCGAAAUUCCUCCGGUUCCAUGUUAUUCGGAAUGAGUUUGCUAACAAGACUUGAUCAACCAUGUUAACGGAUUCCUUUUGAUGAGCAUGAGAUGGAUGAAACUAGAAGGCACAACUCUCCGUACCCUCCUUUUACUUUCUGUUAUUUAUAUUAAAUAAAAUUAAAAGAAGUAUUUUCCGUCUGUUAUCUGAUUUAUCCGUGCAAUAUAAAAUACCCCGAAAAUAAAAGUUCUCCAAAUGCCUUGAAAUUUAAAUAUGAUUUUUUCUGGAAUAUUUGAGAAUAUUUGGCACUAAGAACACAACACAGGGGGCAUCCACCUGGCCACGAGAGUGGAGGGCGCGCCCUACCCCCCCUGUGCGUGCCCCUUGCCUCGUGGGCCCACGGUGGCCCUCCUCCACUUAUUCCUGCACCCACACACUCCUUCCUCCCAUAAACACGAUUAUCCAGUUCGAACCCAAGUCCAAGCUCAUUUUGCUGCUAUUUUCGAUCUCCUUGCUCAAAGCACCUCUCACAAAACUGCUUGGGGGGAUUGUUCCUUGGUAUGCGACUCCUCCAUUGGUCCAAUUAGUUUUUGUUCUAGUGCUUUAUUCAUUGCAAAUUUAUGUUGUCUAGGUGCCCAUGUUCCUGAGCUUGCAUGUCAAAUUUAUGUGGUUCCAACUAGUUUUGAUGCAUGAUAUAGGCUCUAGGCACUUGUAGGAGUUGUUGCUAUCAAUUUUGUUGAGCUUGGCUCACUUUUAUUUGAAGUUACUAAAAAUUUCAGAAUUUUUCAGAAAAUAAUGAAGAGAUUUUUGAGGGGCUCAUCAAGCCGAAGCUCGAAGGAAAAGCAAAAUGAAAAAGCAGAGAGGCCCGAAUAUAAUCUGCCUCGCACCGCAGAGGUUCGGCCGUGUGAAUGGCCUUCCAAUGAUUUCUUGAGAGCAGUCGGGAUUUAUGAUGAUUUUUAUGAAUUGGCUGAGAAUGUAGGCCUCACCGCCUUCCUCCAUGACCAACGCGAACAAUAUCUCUUACUCACCAAUAUCUUUGUGCAAAACUUUCAUUUCCAUGCUAGGAGCUCACCACCUACGGUGGAGUUUUAUUUGUAUGAUGAGCACAAGGAGAUGUCACUUUACGAUUUCUGUCGGGUUUGAUUGAUCCCUUUCGAGGGCACAAUAGAGGAACCACACCGCGGUGAUGUGGAUGGGUUUAUAGAUACCAUCACUGUAGGGGAAACGAGGAAGGUUUCCGAUGCACGAAUCACUAGCAUACAUUUUCCUGUUUUACGCUACUUUGCAAUAUUUGCUAGUCGUUGCUUAAUUGGUCGCGAAAACUGUGGAAACCUUAGUGUUCCUGAUAUUAUUAUUUUGUUCCACGGUUUAUUCUGUGAUAAAUCUGUUAGUAUGGGCGGUAUUAUUGCUAAACGGUUAAGUCUCAACUGUACAAAGGGCCCCAUCUUUGGAGGCAUCUAUGCUUCACGCCUAACUGCGCAUUUUAACAUACCUAUUAAGCAUUAUGAGAAGGAAGAAAAAUUGCUGCCCCUGUUUAUUUAGAUUAUAAGAGUAUGGUGGCACACGAUUUUAUUGUUAAGAAUAGGAAAGGGGAGCUUAAAUACAAAUUGUUCUUUGAUAAACAUCAUCCUGAGACUAUUACCCUGCCUACUCCUUCCUUGUUUGAUUUAUCUCCAGGCAAGUACCUUGUUCCGUUAGAGGCUAUUCACGCCUACCGGAACAUUGCAUCAGCCACAGAGCCAGAGUCGGAACCACUAGUUGAUCCUCCACGACAGUCUAAUUACCAUUGGGAUCCAGAAAUGAUAGCCACCAGUGGAAAUCAGAGUCUUCUUCGCAGUACGACCCCAACUAUUACUAUGGAUAUCCGCCAGGCCAGCCGUGGCCAUAGACCAACUUAGGUCAAAAGCCUAAACUUGGGGGAGUACGUAUUUCCCGCCGACAUUACAUUCAUGUUCGCACACUCAUUGCUAGAUGUCGGUGCUCAUACUUUUUCAUUGUAUCAUCCAUGCUAGUUCAUUUCCUUUUUAAGCUUUCUUCUUGUGUGUUUAAUAAACCUUAAGAAAAACCAAAAAAACUAGUUGUAGCUUUUAGCUAGUUUUAAUUUCCAUGCUUGUAGUAGUAAUUAAAAAGAAAACCCAAAAAAAGAUUUCUUGUUCUUGUUUUGCUCGUUGGGAGCUUUCCCGUGUAAAUAGUUUUAUUUCUUUUCUUUGGGGGUCGAUAGGAGAAUACCAUGAUUAAAUUGUUGAAGUGGCUCUUAUAUAUAUUUUUUAUCUGACAAAAGAGCCCAUAUUGCCUUGUCUUCUCCAGUUUAUUGAAUGCUUGCAGAUUCCAGCUUAGUCCAAUGCACGCGCACUAUUAUUAUUAUCCACAUCGUUCGGUCGUGCAAGUGAAAGGCAAUUAUGACAAUAUAUGAUGGACUGACUGAGAUGAGAAAAGCUGGUAUAAACUCAACCUCUCUUGUUUUUGUAAAUAUGAUUAGUUCAUCGUUCCUGAUUCAGCCUAUUAUGAAUAAACAUGUUUGCAAUGACAACUAGAGAUCAUAGUUUCUUGUGCCAUGCUUGAUUAGCUAGGAGCUUAUAAUGGUUUACCUUGCGUGCCAACAUGCUAUUAAAAUGGUUGUGAUGUGGUAUGAUAGGGUGGUAUCCUCCUCUGAAUGAUUUGAGUGGCUUGACUUGGCACAUGCUCACGCAUGUAGUUGAAAUAAAAUCAACAUAUCCUCUACGAUAUUUAUGUUCAUGGGGAAUUAUAUCCUACUCAUGCUUGCAUUUGGUGUUGAUUAAUUUUAAUGCAUGUUUAUGAGUGUUGUCGCUCUCUAGCUGGUUGCUUCCCAGUCUUUUGCUAGCCUUCACCUGUACUAAGCGGGAAUACUGCUUGUGCAUCCAAUCCCAUAAACCCCAAAGUUAUUCCAUAUGAGUCCACCAUACCUACCUAUUUACGGUAUCUACCUGCCGUUCCAAGUAAAUUUGUAUGUGCCAAACUCUAAACCUUCAAAUAAAUAUCAUGUUUUGUAUGCUCGAAUAGCUCAUGUAUCAACUAGGGCUGUCUGUAUCUUCCAUGUUAGGCGGGUUAUUCUCAAGAGGAGUGGACUCCGCUCCUCACUCACGAGAAAAUGGCUGGUCACCGGGAUGCCCAGUCCCAUGCUUUAUGCAAAUCAAAUCAAAAUAAUUGCAAACAAAACUCUCCCUAGGACUCUUGUUAGUUGGAGGCACUCGUUGUUUUGAGCAAGCCAUGGAUUGAUGCUUGUUAGUGGAAGGGGAGUAUAAACUUUACCAUUCUGUUUGGGAACCGCCUAUAAUGUGUGUAGCAUAGAAUAUAUCGCCCUCUCUUGGUUGUUAUGUUGACAAUGAAAGUAUACUGCUCAAAAUAUUAUUCACCUCUAUUUCAAAACCGAGCUCUGGCACCUCUACAAAUCCCUGCUUCCCUCUGCGAAGGGCCUAUCUAUUUACUUUUAUGUUGACUCAUCAUCCUCUUAUUAAAAAUCACAAGUUGGAGAGCACCGCUGUCAUUUGCAUUCAUUACUGUUAGUUUACAUUGAGUAUGACUGGACUGGAUCUCUUUUACCAUGAAUUACAAUGUCUAGUCAGUCCUUGAUCUUUAAAGGUGCUCUGCAUUUAUGUUUUGCGGUCUCAGAAAGGGCUAGCGAGAUACCAUCUUGUUAUAUCAUAUCAUGAUUGUUUUGAGAAAGUGUUGUCAUCUGAGAUUUAUUAUAUUGCUCGCUAGUUGAUUAUGCCAUUGAUAUGAGUAAACAUGAGACCUAAAUGUUAUUGUGAAUAUGGUUAGUUCAUAAUCUUUGCUGAAAACUUGAAUGCUGGCUCUACAUAUUUACAACAACAAGAGCAAACAGAGUUUGUAAAAGUUUUUCUUUAUCACUUUCAGCUUAUCAACUGAACUGCUUGAGGACAAGCAAAGGUUUAAGCUUUGGGCAGUUGAUACGUCUUCGUCGUAUCUACUUUUCCAAACACUUUUGCCCUUGUUUUGGACUCUAACUUGCAUGAUUUGAAUGGAACUAGCCCGGACUUACGCUGUUUUCAGCAGAAUUGCCAUGGUGUUAUUUUUGUGCAGAUAUAAAAGUUCUCGGAAUGACCCGAAAAUCAACGGAGAAUUAUUUUGGAAUACAUAAAUAAUACUGGAAGGAAGAUCCACGUCAGGGGGGCCUCCACCUGUCCACGAGGGUGGGGGCGCGCCCUACCCCCCUGGUGCUACCUCUUGAGCACUGCGUUGGUUUUCCCUUGAAGAGGAAAGGGUGAUGCAGUAAAGUAGCGUAAGUAUUCCCCUCAGUUUUUGAGAACCAAGGUAUCAAUCCAGUAGGAGAUCACGCUCGAGUCCCACGCACCUACACAACCAAAUAAGAACCUCGCAACCAACGCGAUAAAGGGGUUGUCAAUCCCUUCACGGUCACUUACGAGAGUGAGAUCUGAUAGAUAUGGUAAGAUAAUAUUUUGGUAUUUUUAUGAUAAAGAGAAAUAAAGAUGCAAAGAAAAAUAAACGGCAAUAGAAAUAACUAAGUAUCACCUGGGCGCACCCCCUGCCUCGUGGGCCCCCUGACGCUCCACCAACCUCAACCCUGACUUCAUAUAUUCACUUUCGGGGAGAAAAAACCAGAGAGAAAGAUUCAUCACAUUUUACGAUACGGAGCCGCCGCCAAGCCCUAAACUCUCUCGGGAGGGCUGAUCUGGAGUCCGUUCGGGGCUCCGAAGAGGGGAAUCCAUCGCCAUCAUCAUCAUCAACCUUCCUCCAUCACCAAUUUCAUGAUGCUCACCGUCGUGCGUGCAUAAUUCCAUCGUAGGCUUGCUGGACGGUGAUGGGUUGGAUGAGAUUUAUCAUGUAAUCGAGUUAGUUUUGUUAGGGUUUGAUCCCUAGUAUCCACUAUGUUCUGAGAUUGAUGUUGCUAUGACUUUGCUAUGCUUAAUGCUUGUCACUAGGGCCCGAGUGCCAUGAUUUCAGAUCUGAACCUAUUAUGUUAUCAUCAAUAUAUGAGCGUUCUUGAUCCUAUCUUGCAAGUCUAUAGUCACCUACUAUGUGUUAUGAUCCGGCAACCCCGAAGUGACAAUAAUCGGGACCACUCCUGGUGAUGACCGUAGUUUGAGGAGUUCAUGUAUUCACUAUGUGUUAAUGCUUUGGUCCGGUACUCUAUUAAAAGGAGGCCUUAAUAUCCCUUAGUUUCUGCUAGGACCCCGCUUCCACGGGAGGGUAGGACAAAAGAUGUCAUGCAAGUUCUUUUCCAUAAGCACGUAUGACUAUAUUCGGAAUACAUGCCUACAUUACAUUAAUGAAUUGGAGCUAGUUCUAUGUCACCCUAGGUUAUGAUUGUUACAUGAUGAACCGCAUCCGACAUAAUUCUCUAUCACUGAUCCAUUGCCUACGAGCUUUCCAUAUAUUGUUCUUCGCUUAUUUACUUUUCCAUUGCUAUUGCUAUCAUCACUACAAAAUACCAAAAACAUUACUUUUGCUAUCGUUACCUUUUGCUGCCGUUACCACUACUAUCAUAUUACUUUGCUACUAAACACUUUGCUGCAGAUAUUAAGUUUCCAGGUGUGGUUGAAUUGACAAGUCAGCUGCUAAUAGUUGAGAAUAUUCUUUGGCUCCCCUUGUGUUGAAUCAAUAAAUUUGGGUUGAAUACUCUACCCUUGAAAACUGUUGCGAUCCCCUAUACUUGUGGGUUAUCAUUGCUCCUGCAGCGGGUCUUGCACAUAGCGGUGCUUCCAGGACGUAAUUCUUCUGUGUAGCAAUGAGGAUAAUCCUCAAGUUACGGACCUAGUCCAUGUAGUUGCUACCAUCAUCUUUCAACUUAGGUUUCUCUACGAACGCAUUAAAAUUCAAAGGGACAUUAGCACGGGCCAUUGAUCUACAACAACAUAGACAUGCAAACUACUAUCAGGUGCUAAGUUCAUGAUAAAUUAAAGUUCAAUUAAUCAUAUUACUUAAGAACUCCCACUUAGAUAGACAUCCCUCUAGUCAUCUAAAUGAUCACGUGAUCCAUAUCAACUAAACCAUGUCCGAUCAUCUCGUGAGAUGGAGUAGUUUCAAUGGUGAACAUCACUAUGUUGAUCAUAUCUACUAUAUGAUUCACGCUCGACCUUUCGGUCUCAGUGUUCCGAGGCCAUAUCUGCAUAUGCUAGGCUCGUCAAGUUUAACCCGAGUAUUCUGCGUGUGCAAAACUGGCUUGCACCCGUUGUAUGUGAACGUAGAGCUUAUCACACCCGGUUAUCACGUGGUGUCUCGGCACGACGAACUAUAGCAAUGGUGCAUACUCAGAGAGAACACUUGUACCUUGAAAUUUAGUGAGAGAUCAUCUUAUAAUGCUACCGCCGUACUAAGCAAAAUAAGAUGCAUAAAGGAUAAACAUCACAUGCAAUCAAAAUAAGUGAUAUGAUAUGGCCAUCAUCAUCUUGUGCCUUUGAUCUCCAUCUCCAAAGAACCGUUAUGAUCACCAUCAUCACCGGCUUGACACCUUGAUCUCCAUCGUAGCAUCGUUGUCAUCUCGCCAACUAUUGCUUCUACGACUAUCGCUACCACUUAGUGAUAACGUAAAGCAAUUACAUGGCGAUUGCAUUUCAUACAAUAAAGCGACAACCAUAAGGCUCCUGCCAGUUGCCGAUAACUUUUACAAAACAUGAUCAUCUCAUACAACAACUUAUAUAUCAUCACGCAAAAACAAGUUAGACGUCCUCUACUUUGUUGUUGCAAGUUUUACGUGGCUGCUACAGGCUUCUAGCAAGAACCGUUCUUAUCUACGCAUCAAAACCACAAUGAUUUUUCAUCAAGUGUGUUGUUUUAACCUUCAACAAGGACCGGGCGUAGUCAAACUCGAUUCAACUAAAGUUGGAGAAACAGACACCCAGUAGCCACCUGUGUGUGAAGCACCUCGAUGGAACCAGUCUCAUGAACGCGGUCAUGUAAUGUCGGCCUGAGCUGCUUCAUCCAACAAUACCGCCAAAUCAAAGUAAGACGUUGCUGGUAAGAAGUAUGACUAUUAUCGUCCACAACUCAUUGUGUUCUACUCGUGCAUAUAACAUCUACGCAUAGACCUGGCUCGGAUGUCAUUGUUGGGGAACGUAGUAUUUCAAAAAAAAUCAUACGAUCACGCAAGAUAUAUCUAGGAGAAGCAUAGCAAUGAGCGGGGAGAGUGUGUUCACGUACCCUCGUAGACCGAAAGCGGAAGCGUUUAGUAACACGGUUGAUGUAGUCGAACGUCUUUGCGAUCCAAUCGAUCCAAACACCAAACGUACGACACCUCCGCGUUCAGCACACGUUCAGCUUGAUGACAUCCCUCGAGCUCUUGAUCCAGUUGAGGCCGAGGGAUAGUUCCGUCAGCACGAUGGCGUGGCGACGGUGAUGAUGAAGUUACCGGCGCAGGGCUUCGCCUAAGAACUACGACGAUAUGACCGAGGUGUGUAACUGUGGAGGGGGGCAACGCCCACGGCUAAGAGAAACUUGUGUCUUUGGGGUGCCCCCCUCCCACGUAUAUAAAUGGGGGGAGGAGGCCGGCCCAAAGGGGGGCGCGCCACAUGUUGGGGGUCCUACUAGGACUCCCUAGUCCUAGUAGGAUUCCCCUCUCCUUUCCUUUUACGGAAGGGGGAAAGGGGGGAAGGAGAGGAGGGGAAGAGGGAAAGGGGGCACGCCCCCUCCCCUUCCUAUUCGGACUCCACUUGGGGGGACGCGCACGCCUCCCCCUUGUGGGUUGUACCCUCUUCUCUCCCAUGGCCCAUAAGGCCCAUGAUUUCCCCCGGGGGGUUCCGGUAACCUCCCGGUACUCCAGAAAAAUGCUCGAAUCACUCGGAAUCAUUCUGAUGUUUGAAUGCAACCUUCCAAUAUAUGAAUCUUUACCUCUCGACCAUUUCUGUGAUCUCAUCCGGGACUCCGGACAAACUUCAGUCAUCAAAUCACAUAACUCAUAAUACAAAUUGGCACGAACGUUAAGCAUGCGGACCCUAUGGGUUUGAGAACUAUGUAGACAUGACUGAGACACAUCUCCGGUCAUUAACCAAUAGCGGAACCUGGAUGCUCAUAUUGGCUCCUACAUAUUCUACGAAGAUCUUUAUCGGUCAAACCGCAUAACAACAUACGUAGUUCCCUUUGUCAUAUGUAUGUUAUUUGCCCGAGAUCCGAUCGUCGGUAUCCCCAUACCUAGUUCAAUCUCGUUACCGUCAAGUAUCUUUACUUGUUCCGUAAUGCAUCAUCAUGUAACUAACUCAUUAGUCACAUUGCUUGCAAGGCUUAUAGUGAUGUGCAUUACCGAGAGGGCUUAGAGAUACCUCUCUGAUACACGAAGUGGCAAAUCCUAAUCUCGAUCUAUGCCAACUCAACAAACACCAUCAGAGACACCUGUAGAGCAUCUUUAUAAUCACCCAGUUACAUUGUGACGUUUGAUAGCACACUAAGUGUUCCUCCGGUAUUCGGGAGUUGCAUAAUCUCAUAGUCAUAGGAACAUGUAUAAGUCAUAAAGAAAGCAAUAGCAAUAAAAUUAAACGAUCAUUAUGCUAAGAUAACGGAUGGGUCUUGUCCAUCACAUCAUUCUCUAAUGAUGUGAUCCCGUUCAUCAAAUGACAACACAUGUCUAUGGUUAGGAAACUUAACCAUCUUUGAUUAACGAGCUAGUCUAGUAGAGGCAUACUAGGGACACUCUGUUUGUCUAUGUAUUCACACAUGUACUAAGUUUCUGGUUAAUACAAUUCUAGCAUGAAUAACAAAGAUUUAUCAUGAUAUAAGGAAAUAUAAAUAACAACUUUAUUAUUGCCUCUAGGGCAUAUUUCCUUCAGGAAGAGCAUCGCGGGUGGGAGGGAGAAGGGGAAUUAAGAGAGUGUGGGUUUGGGUUUGGGCCUCCGCGUGCUAUGUGUACACAUGUGUUGGUGGGUCGAUAGUAGUGGUCCUGGGUUUAUACCCCACGCUACUACUAUGGCCUAUCCCGGGGGUACGGUAGAGACCGCUUAGUAGUAGCGAGGGAUUUAUACCCCUCACUACUACUAUCAACUUAGUAGUAGUGAGGGAUUUAUACCCCUCGCUACUACUAUCAACUUAGUAGUAGUGAGGGAUUUAUACCCCUCGAUACUACUAUGGCCAGUCCCGGGGGGCACGGUGGAGACCACUUAGUAGUAGUGUGGGGUUUAUACCCCUCGCUACUACUAUCAACUUAGUAGUAGUGUGGGUUCUAUACCCCUCGCUACCAAUAAUUAGCAGCAGUGUGGCCCAUAUACCCCUCGCUACGGUUAAGCAUCUAUCUAUAAAGUAUUUUCUAGUAGUGCAUCGAUGGCGGCGAAAUCAGUCGUUCUGCUUGUUUUCCCUACUAGCUCUCUGACGUCCAGAACAAGUUUACGGUCAUAAGGUGCAAUAACCUUGCCUUCAUGAGUGACACGAUGACACGGGAACAGGCUUCCAAGCCUAUGGUGUCGCAUCAUGUCGUGGUCUGCUAGACUUAGUGGACGAAUGCUACUACAAUAUCGGUUGAUCUCAUACUACAAUACCAAGGAAGACACGCAACUACUAUAUAUAUUUCUUCAAGUCAGUCAACACAAGUAAAAUCUGGGAGUUCAACUGGUGCAGCUAUGCAAUGCUAAUGGAGACAACACAAUUCAACUUUAGCACUUCACACAUAAGCAACACCACGUUCAAUGGCACACACCUUAGAGUGUACCUAUGGUGGUUGAUUGGGCUAUAAGAAAUGUGAGUCCAUGUGAAGAUGCCAAAUAUAAUAACACGGCUAAUUACACAUGCAGUGGCAGCAGCAACAAGUGCAUGAAUUCCACAAAUGAUCUAGGGUACACAUGCAACUGUGUCCUUGAGUAUGACAACAACCCUUAUCUUCUAGACAAAUGCAUGGUAUGCUACUAAUUUAUUUGCUAAAUAUUCCAAUGAAUUGUGUCCUUUACUUUGUACAUACCCAAUUAUAAUAUUUUAUUUUGCUAAUACAAUGUAGCCUUCAAUUUAAACCAAGGUUUGCAUCCAUUAAUUAUGUUAGGUUCAUAUGACUUCACUACAUAAAUAGGUAGAUAAUGCAUAAGACUGAGAUUGUAGCUAGGGAUGAAAAUCUAAAUACGGCAUGAAUCUAACAAUUAUGAGUAAUGUCUUUGUGACAAGAACUUUCUUUGUCUUUUAUUCCCAUGUUUGAACUAGUAUAGGUCAGGGUUACACAUUAUGGUGCACAUCACUUUAUUUGUCAUCGUUACAUUGAACACUCAUUGACUAAACAACGAUGAUCCAUCCGUCUUGUAUUACAGGUCUUCAUUUCAUUGGCCACCGAUGCUUGUAAGACUACUCCCAGAUGGUUGUUGUUGUGGAUAUGGUUGUUGAGGUUGGUGUGGUUGCUGGGGGAAUGGUUGUUGGGGUUGCUGGGAAAUUGUUUGUUCUAGUUGCUGGGAUAAUUGUUGUUGGGGCUGCAGAAAUGGUUGUUGUGGUUGUUGUGGUUGCAGGAUGGAGGGUUGCUGGGAAAAUGGUUGUUGCGGUCGUAGGGGGAAUGGUUGUUGUGGUUGUAGAGGGAAAGGUUGUUGUGGUUGUUGAGGGAAUGGUUGUUGUGGUUGUUGGGGGAAUGAUUGUUGUGGUUGCAGGGGGAAUGGUUGUUGUGGUUGCUGGGGGAANNNNNNNNNNNNNNNNNNNNNNNNNNNNNNNNNNNNNNNNNNNNNNNNNNNNNNNNNNNNNNNNNNNNNNNNNNNNNNNNNNNNNNNNNNNNNNNNNNNNNNNNNNNNNNNNNNNNNNNNNNNNNNNNNNNNNNNNNNNNNNNNNNNNNNNNNNNNNNNNNNNNNNNNNNNNNNNNNNNNNNNNNNNNNNNNNNNNNNNNNNNNNNNNNNNNNNNNNNNNNNNNNNNNNNNNNNNNNNNNNNNNNNNNNNNNNNNNNNNNNNNNNNNNNNNNNNNNNNNNNNNNNNNNNNNNNNNNNNNNNNNNNNNNNNNNNNNNNNNNNNNNNNNNNNNNNNNNNNNNNNNNNNNNNNNNNNNNNNNNNNNNNNNNNNNNNNNNNNNNNNNNNNNNNNNNNNNNNNNNNNNNNNNNNNNNNNNNNNNUGGUUGCAGAGGGAACGAUUGUUGGGUCUGGGGAAAUGGUUGUUGUGGUUGCCAGGAAAAUGGUUGUUGGGGCUGUGGAAAAGGUUGUUGUGGUUGUUGGGGUUGCUGGGGGAAUGGUUGUUGUGGUUGUAAGGGGGUCGGUUGUUGGGGUUGGGGAAAUAAUUGUUGUGAUUGCUGGGGAAAUUGUUGUUGGGGUGUGGAAAAUGGUUGUUGUGAUGGAUAUGGUUGCUGUGAUGGAUAUGGUUGUUGUGGAUAUGGCUGUUGUGGAAAUAGUUUUUGUUGAUGGGAAAAUGAUUGUUGAGGUGAUUGUAACUCUUUGUUGUUAGGGUUUAGUUGCCUAGCGGCAAUGGCGGUGUUCAUCGCCAUGGCAAGGAGGACAAAGAUGAGGAAGGUCUUCAUGUUGGAUUUGUGGUUACUACUGCUUGCUUGCCUUUGAUGCUUGUGGUCUAGGUGUGUGAAGUUUUGUUGAUGGAAGGUGUCCUUGGUGGUGCAUGUGUAUUUAUAGUUUUCAUGGCAUGGCUUGCUUUCAUCUUUGCACUCGCUCUUUGAAAAAGUGCAUCAAUGCUUAUCCAACUAAUCAUUUGGUUUGUUGUGUUUGGUGCAACUACUUACUAGUGAGAUUUUGGAUUUUCAUGAUAGUUGUUUUUUGUUGAAAUCAUCUGGUUGUAAGGAAUGUUGGAUAAUGACCAAUGACUCAUCUUCUUCACUUUACACUGCAAACAUUGAUCUAGAUUAUGUCCCUUUUUGAAAUUUAGUUUGUGGAGCUCUACAUGUUGUUAGGCUUAUCCAUAUUGGCAUAGCUUGAGUGGAGCUAAGUUUGUAAGCUUGUGUGCGCCAUUAUGAUGGAUCACACUAUUAAUGUGAUGAUUGUUUUACAAAUUAUCUUUCCAAAACUAACUUUAUGUUUUUUGCCCAAUAUGAUUCUAAGACGGAUAACCAGACAUGACUCAUCAAAUAACAAGAUAAACCGAGUAGCAAGUUGGGGGUUAUAAGUUAUAAUAUGGACUUUUCUCUAAGAUACACCAUCUUGUCUUGCAUGCUCUGUGGAUUUGAAAAGCAUCUACUAAUUUAGAUGCAAUUGAAACAAAAGUAGACUAAAAAGGUAAGCAAUGAAAUGAGAAUACUAUUAUGUGAAGCUCUACAUGUCUGGUAAGCAGUGAGAUACUGGAUACAUCUAUAUCUUCAAUCCUUUCAUCCCUAUCAACUCUUUAUUGGCUGCUUUUAUCGUAGUCAUCCCUUAAAUAAAAAUCACUUAAAUAUAAGUUUGGGAGUUAGUACCAACAUAUAUCAUGUACAAGAUAGAAAACUAAGGCACAUAUAGUAGUCUAUUGACCAUAUUUAAUUUCUUGUGAUGUGAAAGCAUGUGGAGUAUAAGUUGGUUAAAUAUAAAGUUGUCCUUCAUACCAGUAGGGAAAGAAUAUGCAGUAUAAAGAUUAGAGCAUUGGACUAAUAUGCUAUUAAAUGCUACAGGAUAAUUGACAGUUCAAGUUAAGAACAACAUUAGCAUUCCAACUUUUGUCUUGUGCAAGUUAAGAACAUGCUAACAAAGUAACCUAAGCAAAUAAGUGCAAAACCUUCACCUAUAAGGAAAUUGUGAAACUACACAAAAUGACCUAUUGUAAAGAAGGAAAAAAAUCUAAAGGUGAAUGAAAGAACGUUAAGUACAUUCAGGAUUCGAUUAUGCCUUCAUGGAUAACCUUUUAGAUGGUGACAUGUCCAUGUUGAUGUGUGUCGGCAUGGAACGAGGACAAGAAGACGUCGUUGCGUCGUACUUUGGGAAUUUCAUCAAACUGGUUGUGUGCGGGAACAAAUAUUUGUCGCCUCCCUGCUCAAAUCUCUCUUCAUGUCACUGAAUCCGACACUCCACCUACCAAAAUCAGCUGCAAGCCAGGGAUAAUCAACGGGUUUCUCCGCCCGUAGCAUCUAUCACCAAAAGUAGUUCAGACUAUAGUCUUGUAGUUCAAAAUUUUGUAAUAACAAGCACUACUAGGUUGCUUUUGUUUGUACGUCUUCAUUCUGUACAACCCAUGGAACUAAAAAUGCAUUGGUCAUUCUUUGUUCUAUACAACCAAUUCAACCAAAAAUGCAUUGGGCUUUUCUUUGUACAUCUUCGGGUUCUACAACCAAUGCAACAAAAAAUCCAUUGGGUAGUCUUCCAUUCUAGUCGGGCACCAACAGUUAAAUGAGGAGCUAAACAAUGUUGGAGUCUAAAACUACAUACAAUCAUGAAGCAUAGAGAGGCGACUUGGAAGCUGUGCUCCUGUGAGCUCGUAUUUUUGUAGACAAAAAGUAAUGUUUGUAUUUUGAAGUGGGAAAAAAUCCUAAAAAGGGAUGUUUUGCGGGUUAUAACUUACUAUUUUUGGGUCCUGGGCUGCAGGAAGGUCGUCAAAAUCAAUGUGUUUUCCCAUUCAAUGCAUGUUUCUUGGGUUAUAGGUCACGCUUUUGGUGUCCUAGGGAGAUCACUUCCCCGGUCAAGAACAUUAGGUGAUGAUUUUUAGAAAAACUCAUUGUUUUAGCCUAACUAGUUUCGAGGAUUGGUGGACGGGAUUAUCAUGGAACAAAGUGACAACCUUCCUUUUCUUCAUGCCUAAUAUAAACUUAGCAGUCAGCUAAAAGUAACUAGCGAUAUCACAGAAUGUUUUUUGUCAAAAGUAGAUACCACUUCAGGAUUCAACUCGGUUAGUUCAAUCACAGACAUGUUAAGAGCAGGAUUUACAACUAACUGCAUAGGGAACAUCUCCUUUUAUCACCCACUAUCUGUCUGUGCACUUUGGUUUUCCCGUAGCAUCACACAAAGCACUUUGUUAGUACCAAUAAUGUGCUCCAACUCUACACAUUAAUCAUCUUGAAUUCUUCUACUGAUGUCGAACAAUGUAAUAUCUUGAAUUCUUCUAACGAGUUCGGAUUAGACUACAUGGGCAAUUUAUCUGGUCCCUGAGAUGCAAGGUCGAUGAACAAUCGCUUCGUCUUAUGACGAGGGGUUGUUUUUGCCUAAGAAACUAAUACAUGUAACUUCGACACCGGAUUAAUAAAUGGUAAAACCUAAAUAAAUUAGAUCACGAGCUAAACCAUUUACUUUUGUAUGCAUUUAAACUUUUGAUACAUAUGAGCUUGUUAAGAUGUUCGCAUAAACACCAUGGUGAUUUGAAGCAAGACAAAGUAAACUUGAACCGCUUGAGCCACUGACUUAAUAAGAACCUCCUUUCCCGCGGCAGAGAUUGUUUUUAAUACAUCCACUCACUUUGGCCCAUAGUUUGUCUUUGAGAUACUUAAAAGCACUAGACAUAGAAUUGACAAUAUUAGAAGGCAAGCCCAAAUAUUUCACAUUUAGUGUUUCUACUUGGACACUGAGACCACCUUUGACCUCAUUUUUGACAUUCUCUCUGCAAUCCUUGCUGAGAAACACUGAAGGCUUCCUAUUUAUUUAUUCUUGACCUAAAGCUUCAUUGCGUCUUGCCUUGGUCUUGCACUACUUGCGGCACAAUACGCCUUUGGAACUGCCGUUCCGAAUUCAGAGUGCCGAAGGUGGUGUGACGAUGUUGAGAUACCGUACUCGUUCGGUAGUGAUUCGGGUUGAUCAUUCAGAGUAGACUUUGACAAUAGCUGCAAGGACAAGAUUGCAUUAGGGAGCCUUUUAAUUACACCUCGGAGGUGCUCAGCAUCUUCUUGAUGAACAACAUGGUCCUAGUGUUGAAUAAUAUCAUAUGGGGUAGUGCUACAACAACUCCACCACAAGCAUGGAGGAAUUUAGCAAAUUCCAUCAGUACUAGGAGAAAGCCUAGUAGCAACGCGAGGUAAAGGACUACUAGUAGCGCGGGUGCCCACGCUACUACUAGGGUGCUACAGCUAAUUGGUAGUAGUAGCGUGGGUGACACCCUGCGCUACUACCACGUCUGUUAGUAUAGUAGCGCGAGUGUCACCCGCACUACUACUAGUUAUCUGUAGCCCGGGUCUGACCCCACGCUACUACUAACUAAUUAGGAAUUAAAAAAAUAAAUUCCAUCCAUGGUUGCUGCUGCUGGGCGUCAUCGUCCUCUCCGUCCAUGGCUGAUGUUGGUCCUGGAGGGGAUGACGUCGUCCAUGGUGAUGGUACUUCCUCACCCAAAUCGUCCCCACACCUCUCCUAUGCUACUGCUACAAAAUAAGAGAAAACGAUUAGAAGAGGAAGAGAGAUAUUGAGAGGAGUAGGAGGAGCAACUGACCGGUGGCCGCCGGAGUUGGAGCUGAUGCCCGAAACCCUAGACGAUGCCCGGUGACCUGUUGCUUCUUUUCCUGGGACCUCAUGUCCUCACAAGGCCAUGUCUCAGCGAGGAAGUGCAAGUGGUUGCGUAGCAGAUCUGUUCAUCGCCAUUGGUGGCGCUCUGUUGGAUCUUCCUCUCCUUCCAGCAUCGGAGAAGGAGGAGGAAGGAGGCGAAGGUGAGGCGUAAGUCAGUGGCCCAAAAUUUUUAUAUAGAUGAGACUUACUAAGUAAUAACCCCAUAGAAUCUAUCUAUAUAAAGAUAAAGAGGCAAUCGUGUCAGGAAGCGGGUUUUUCUUUGGCCAAAAGGUACUUAGAACUUGGAACGAGCAUGAAGAGAUUAACGAGACUUCUUUCUCUUUUGAGUUUUUCUGGCGGACCUGCCGCGCAAGAUCUUUGGUCUUCCCCUGGAACCGAUGAAAAAAAGUGGAUUGCUUCUUAUGUACUCGCUCAGCUUAAGAUGCUCGCAUAAUCCCCGUGGUAAUUUGAAGCAAUACAUAGAGUAAACUAGAACUGCUUGAGCCACUAACUUAAUGAGAACCUCCUUUCCCGUAGGAUAUAUCAUUUUUUCAAUCCAUCCAUUCACUUUGGCCCAUAGUAUGUCUUUGAGAUACUUAAAAGCAGUAGAUUAGAAUUACCAAUAUCAUAAGGCAAGCCCAAAUAUUUCUCAUUUAGUGUUUCUGUUGGACACUGAGAACACCUUUGACCUCAUAUCUAACAUUCUCUACACAACCCUUGCUGAGAAACACUGAAGACUUGCUAUUAUUUAUUCUUUGACCUGAAACUUGGCAAUAGGUUUGACACAUCUGUCGCCCCUGAACCAUUUGCCUUGAAAAACAGCAGGCUGUCAUCUGCAAAUAACAAGUGGUUAACUGAUGCCACCAAAGGAGCUACUUGGAUUCCAGUAAACUGGGAUGACUAGUCUCUAGAUUUGAGGAGGCCCGAAAGGCCAUGUACUGCUAACAGGAAAAUCAAGGUGAAUUGGAUCUUGCUGCCGUAUACCACGGGUAGGUUUGAGCUCAUCAAGUUUCUUGCUCUUGAAUAAAAUUGAAUAAGAUACAGAAGCUACCAUGCUCAUUUCUAUGGAGGCCCAUUUAACAGAGAAUCCAAAGUUGAGAUUUAUCACCUCCAAAUACGCCCAUUCAACUAGAUUAUAAGCCUUCAUCAUAUCCAAUUUUAGAGUACAAUGGUGAUGUUACAAUGACUUAUUCCUUUUCAUGAAAUGUAAGCACUCGUAGGCCACGAUUAUAUUGUCAGUGAUAAGGCGACCCGGAACAGAAGCCGACUCUUCACUCAAUAUUAUCUCCGGAAGGGCCCCUUUUAGCCGGUUAGCCAGAACUUUGGGUGUUAUUUGUAAAGUUGCAUAGGCUAAUACGACAGAACUGGCUUAGGAAAGUACCAUUUUGUACCUCAUCACUAUCCUCGCCACAAUACAAAGGACAACCAUUGUUACCUCCUCGCCGCAAAUAUCCCAAUGUUUCUCAAAGAAAUGUUCAAAGAAUCCGUCCGGGCCCAAGGCCUUCAUGCGGAACAUUUGAAACAAUACAAUUUAAACCUUGUUGUAGAAUACUUAGCGUCAAGGAAGGCAUUCAUCGCAUCACUGACCUUUACUGGAACCAAGUCAGGAAAUCAUGCAUAUUAGAAACAGUCUCAGAAGUGAAAAGCUCCGAGUAAAACUAUGUUGUGAUCUCUUCCAAUUCCUUAAGAACACUGAUAACAUCACAUUAGGUUGCUACAAUGAUUUGGUCAAAUUAUUCCGCCUUCUCAUCGAAGCCCUUAAGUGAAAGAAGCAUGUGGUCUUGUCCCCACUAAUCAGCCACUUAAUCUGAGAUCUAGUAGGCAAGAUGAGUGACGGGAAGUAGUUCGGAACAAUUUCCUCUUAUUCACUUCUAAAACAAAUUUUCGGUUUUUGUCGUUCCUAAGCCAAGGAUUUGAUAAAUAUUCAUAAAUUUUUAAAAUGUUCACCAAUAUUAAAAACAUCAUGAUUUUAAAAAACCGUGAUUUUUAAACAAAAUCAUAAAUAUGAAAAUUGCCAUUCACAAAAUUUUAAAAUAAAAUCAUGAAUUUUAAAAGAAUUUUCAAAAUUUUGAUAAAUAUCUACGAAUUUUACAACUUUGAUGAAUUUUAAAAACAAACCAUAACAAAAAAACACUAGCAAGUUCGAUCCUAAAAAAUGCCUUGCCUUCUACUAUGCGUAGCGUGCAUGGACAGCCGGACCUAGACACCCUAGACCAAAAACCCUACAUCUGGGCCAGGCCCGAGCUCCAUUUUUUGGCCCAAAGCCCAGCCCAAAAAGGCAGAAAUGGUAAGAAAUGUAUACUUUAUUCAAAAUAUAGGUAUAUUAUAUUGUUUUAGUAUCUCAAAUAAUUAUUUAAAUUGAAAAAUGUCGUUGUUCAUGUGUUUCUGGACGGGCCAAGCCAGGCUCAUGCUUGGGAUUUUUGCUUCGGGCUUUGACAACCUGGCCCGGGGUAUGAUCAAGUUCAGCAUGGCCCAGUCACACACCCUUGUACAACAUUUUGUUGUAGAGAGCGGCAAAUAUAAUUUUCCCGAUCUAAUAUUGCUCGCUAUAAGUCUAUAUCUAUACUUUUUUCUAUACCCAUACUAAUAAAGCAAGGUGCGUUUCCCCAAUUUUUUCAUUCAUUCACUGUCGAAAACAAUUAUGUUUCCUAUCCGAGGUGGUCCUAAAUUCUUAUGCGUUCAUCUGCUAAAAGAAAGGCUUUUCCGGAAUUUCUUACGUGGGUUGCGCGCUAUGGCCAGUGAAGUCAGCCCACUUAUUUUUCUGCCCAUGCAGCUCUAAAAAAUCUAUUUAACACACAGGGCAAGAAAUAGUCGGCACUUCAAACUGGAAAACAAAUAAUGGGCUAGCCAAUUUUUCUUUGUUUCUGUGUUUUAUUUCUAUUUUUAUUCUCCUUCCCCGAUUUCUUUUUUCACUUCCAAGUUUACAUUUCUUAUAGAAUUUAUUUUAUAAAUUCAAAAUUCUCAAAAAACAUAGAGAAUUUUAAAAAAAUGGAAAAUGUUCAUAACUCCAAUUUUUUUGCUAUUUAAAUUUUUUUCAGAACUUGAAUUUUUUCCCUUUUUCCGAAAAUUUUAUUGUUUUUUAAAAUUGUUAGAGAUUUCUAAAAAGAAAAUGGAAAUUUAAAAAGUCUUCCAAAUUCGAAAAAAAAUCAUGUUUUAGUGAAAUUUUCACAACUCAAAUUAUUCUUAAAAAAUACACAUUUUAAAAAGUAAGGAUUUUCAAUACAUGUUCCCGUUCUAAAAAAAUGUUGACAAAUUCAAAUAAUGUUCAUGUUUUUAUUUUAAAAGUUCGUGUUUUCAAAAAUGUUUGUAAAUUCUAAAAGAUGUUCCUAUUUCAUAUUUUGUUCAUGUUUUUCUGAAAGUGUACCUAAUUUUCAAAAAACUGUUCAGGAUUUAAAAAAUGGUUCAUGUUGCCUACAAUAUUGAGAAACUUCAUACCUUAAAAUCUCCUCGAUUGAAGGAACCAUAGAUUGAAUAAUUCAUGGGCCUUCUCUGGUGGACGAUGACGUAGCAAAACUCUUAAAUGCCCUCAAUCAAUGAAUGGAAAAAUAGCGAAUUGAGUACUUCACACCCAGCGAAACAAAGAAGCUAAAUGUUCCCUUUUUACGUGCGCACAGGGUUUUGCUUGCACAAAUAAUUCUCACUAACUUCCAAUGCAUACUAAUUUUUCUCCCAUUGCGAAGCACAAGCAUAUGUGCUAGUUUUAUCCACGGUGGUACUAAAUUUUUUUGAGUCCAUCUGCUAGAAAAAGGAAAAACAGUUUUGUCAAAAUUUUCGUACAUGGGCCGCGCGCGCUGUGGCCCAGCGAAGCUGGCCCAUUUAUUUCCGGCCGAAGCAGCUGAGAAUAAUUAUUUAACGCUUGGGGCGGCAAAUAGACAAAGUUUCGCAUAGGGCGCCAAAUAUUUGGUCGGCCCAUAUUUGUUUUCUCUCUAGUUUGUUUCUUUUUUUAUUUUCCUUUCUCCUUUUCUUAUCUCUUUACUUUUUCUUUUUUCCCUUUCAAGUUAAUUUUUCUUUUCUCCUUUUCCAUAAAUUAAAUUUUUCAAUAUUUCAGAAUUUUAGUUUUGGAUUAAAUUUUCGUAAAAUCUUCAUAAUUAUUUCUCCCCAUUUUGAAUUGUUUUUAAACUAUAAUUUUUUCUUCUUCUUCUUCCAAAAUUUAUUCAAAACUAUAGAAUAAAGUUCGCAUAUUAAUUUUUUUAUGCUUUCCAAAAUUGUUUGAUAUUUUCAAAAUAUAUUGCAUUAAAAAAUUAAAUAUUUAGAUUUUAUUGAAAUGUUAAUUCAAAGUAAUGUUUGUGUUUAAAAACAUGUUUUUCAAAAUUCUUUUCAAUGUCCAAAACACGUUUUCAUUUCCAAAAAAAAUCACGUAUUCAAAACAUGUUUGCUUUCUUAUAAUAGGUUCAUGUUUUCAAAAAACAUAAAUUUCAAAAAAAUUGUCACAUCUUAAAGAAUAUUCAAAAUAUCGUAAUUAUUACUUUAUUUUUUGAAAAAAAUCAAGAAAAACAGAAAAAAAAAUGUAUAUUAUGCUACAGUAUAUUCUUAAAAUUUCGCCCUCGCCAUUUGUUAGCAUGAGCUGUUUGUUCGAGUGGCUAGCAGCACGUGGUCGAGUUUUUGAGGUCAUGAGUUUGAUCCUUCAACUCAGUGGUUGUUUUGGAUUUUUAUUCACGCCUUACAAAUACAAGUCAUUUUGGUACCUGCCAGCGGCCUUGCCAGACUCGAACUGCCGUGCAUCCGACGUGCUAUUUGACGAUAAAAGAGAAUAUGUUGCUUGACUAUAAUUAAAAAAAUGUGGGCACAUGCCAAUAAAAGAGGAUAUGCUGGUUUGACUCUGAUUAAAAAAAUGUUGGCAAGUGAGCGUCGAAAUAAUUAAAGAGAAUAAACCCUGGUAAAGUAGGGACUACCUGGUUACGUGCUUAUUAUACCAAAGAAACGGGAUUUCCUGCAAUUAGUACUUCAACCGGUUACACCAUCAUAGGAGAGAGUAGUCGAAGCAACUAUGCCACGAAGGUCGCCGUGCUGCACAAAAUGAGGAGGCAACCGCAACCUAGACACGGAGGCAGACUCGGAGAAAAAAAAGCGCAAGUUGGGUGGUGGCCACCACUCCAGCAACCCCAUCAAUAUCAAGAACUCGUGGGCCAAACAUGAUCUCAAGAACAUCGCCGGGGAGACCUUUUGAUGGACACAUCAAUUAUCUCUCCUGAUACUUCUCGUUAAAAAUAUCUUUCUAGUUCUAACGCACGGGCAUAUGUGCUAGUGAUAUAUAAAAUAUGUUGUGCCAAUGAGCACACGGGCUAGCGAGACUCGCCAUGCUUUCAUGUCAUACCGGAGUCCAAACACUCAACUGGAGGGUCCAACCUUAGCGACAGAGUCUUCUUUUGUUGGGAGAAUCUAUAUAUCCGCGAGUGUUAUAUCUCGCAUCUGGUUUACGCGCAGUGCACCUAACCACUAGGCUUUGCCUUACAUUCAUGACAGAGUAGUAAAGCUAGAUUGUUUAAGUCCACACGAGUCAAGGUUUUCAAUGUUUCUUCUCCAUUUUUUUUCAUUUUUUCAUUUUUGUUUUUAUAUUUAUUUCUGUCGGGUUUGUUUGAUCCCUUUCGAGGGCAUAAUAGAGGAACCACACCGUGGUGAUGUGGAUGGGUUUAUAGAUACCAUCACUGUAGGGGAAACGAGGAAGGUUUUCGAUGCACGAAUCACUAGCAUACAUUUUCAUGUUUUACGCUAAUUUGCAAUAUUUGCUAGUCGUUGCUUAAUUGGUUGCGGAAACUGUGGAAACCUUAGUGUUCCUGAUAUUAUUAUUUUGUUCCACGGUUUAUUCUGUGAUAACUCUAUUAGUAUGGGCGGUAUUAUUCCUAAAUGGUUAAGUCUGAACUGUACAAAGGGCCCCAUCUUUGGAGGCAUCUAUGCUUCACACCUAGCUGCGCAUUUUAACAUAGCUAUUAGGCAUUAUGAGAAGGAAGAAAAAUUGCUACCCCCUGUUUAUUUAGAUUAUAAUAGUAUGGUGGCACAUGAUUUUAUUGUUAAGAAUAAGGAAGGGGAGCUUAAAUACAAAUUGUUCUUUGAUAAACAUCAUCCUGAGACUAUUACCCUGCCUGCUCCUUCCUUGUUUGAUUUAUCUGCAGGCAAGUACCUCGUUCCAUUAGAGGCUAUUCACGCCUACCGAAACCCUACAUCAGCCAUAGAGCCAGAGUCGGAACCACAAGUUGAUUCUCCAUGACAGUCUAAUUACCAUUGGGAUCCAGAAAUGAUUGCCACCAGUGGCAAUCAGAGUCUUCUUCGCAGUACGACCCCAACUAUUACUAUGGAUAUCCGCCAGGCCAGCCGUGGCCAUAGACCAACUUAGGUCAAAAGCCUAAACUUGGGGGAGUACGUAUUUCCCGCCGACAUUACAUUCAUGUUCGCACACUCAUUGCUAGAUGUCGGUGCUCAUACUUUUUCAUUGUAUCAUCCAUACUAGUUCAUUUCCUUUUUAAGCUUUCUUCUUGUGUGUUUAAUAAACCUUAAGAAAAACCAAAAACAUUAGUUGUAGCUUUUAGCUAGUUUUAAUUUCCAUGCUCGUAGUAGUAAUUAAAAAGAAAACCCAAAAAAAAGAUUUCAUGUUCUUCUUUUGCUUGUUGGGAGCUUUCCCGUGUAAAUAGUUUUAUUUCUUUUCUUUUCUUUGGGGGUCGAUAGGAGAAGACCAUGAUUAAAUUGUUGAAGUGGCUCUUAUAUGUAUUUUUGUUGAUCUGACAAAAGAGCCCAUAUUGCCUCGACUUCUCCUGUUUAUUGAAUGCUUGCAGAUUCCAGCUUAGUCCAAUGCACGUGCACUAUUAUUAUUAUCCACAUCAUUCGGUCGUGCAAGUGAAAGGCAAUUAUGACGAUAUAUGAUGGACUGACUGAGAUGAGAAAAGCUGGUAUGAACUCAACCUGUCUUGUUUUUGUAAAUAUGAUUAGUUCAUCGUUCCUGAUUCAGCCUAUUAUGAAUAAACAUGUUUGCAAUGACAACUAGAGAUCAUAGUUUCUUGUGCCAUGCUUGAUUAGCUAGGAGCUUAUAAUGGUUUACCUUGCGUGCCAACAUGCUAUUAAAAUGGUUGUGAUGUGGUAUGAUAGGGUGGUAUCCUCCUCUGAACGAUUCGAGUGGCUUGACUUGGCACAUAUUCACGCAUGUAGUUGAAACAAAAUCAACAUAGCCUCUACGAUAUUUAUGUUCAUGGUGAAUUAUAUCCUACUCAUGCUUGCAUUCGGUGCUGAUUAAUUUUAAUGCAUGUUUAUGACUGUUGUCGCUCUCUAGCUGGUCGCUUCCCAGUCUUUUGCUAGCCUUCACCUAUACUAAGCGGGAAUACUACUUGUGCAUCCAAUCCCAUAAACCCCAAAGUUAUUCCAUAUGAGUCCACCAUACCUACCUAUUUACGGUAUCUACCUGCCGUUGCAAGUAAAUUUGUAUGUGCCAAACUCUAAACCUUCAAAUAAAUAUCAUGUUUUGUAUGCUCGAAUAGCUCAUGUAUCAACUAGGUUUGUCUGUAUCUUUCAUGUUAGGCGGGUUAUUCUCAAGAGGAGUGGACUCCGCUCCUCACUCGCGAGAAAAUGGCUGGUCACCCGGAUGCCUAGUCCCAUGCUUUAUGCAAAUCAAAUCAAAAUAAUUGCAAACAAAAUUGCCCCUGGGACUCUUGUUAGUUGGAGGCACUCGUUGUUUCGAGCAAGCCAUGGAUUGAUGCUUGUUGGUGGAGGGGGGGUAUAAAAUUUUCCAUUCUGUUUGGGAACCGCCUAUAAUGUGUGUAGCAUGGAAGAUAUCACCAUCUCUUGGUUGUUAUGUUGACAAUGAAAGUAUACCGCUCAAAAUAUUAUUUACCUCUAUUUCAAAAUCGAGCUCUGGCACCUCUACAAAUCCCUGCUUCCCUCUGCGAAGGGCCUAUCUAUUUACUUUUAUGUUGAGUCAUCAUCCUCUUAUUAAAAUGCACCAGUUGGAGAGCACCGUUGUCAUUUGCAUUCAUUACUAUUAUUUUACAUUGAAUAUGACUUGACUGGAUCUCUUUUACCAUGAAUUACAAUGUCUAGUCAGUCCUUGAUCUUUAAAGGUGCUCUACAUUUAUGUUUUGCGGUCUCAGAAAGGGCUAGCGAGAUACCAUCUUGUUAUAUCAUAUCAUGAUUGUUUUGAGAAAGUGUUGUCAUCCGAGAUUUAUUGUUAUUGCUCGCUAGUUGAUUAUGCCAUUGAUAUGAGUAAACAUGAUACAUAAAUGUUAUUGGAAUAUGGUUAGUUCAUAAUCUUUGCUGAAAACUUGAAUGCUGGCUCUACAUAUUUACAACAACAAGAGCAAACAGAGUUUGUAAAAGUUUUUCUUUAUCACUUUCAGUUUAUCAACUGAAUUGCUUGAGGACAAGCAAAGGUUUAAGCUUGAGGGAGUUGAUACGUCUCCGUCGUAUCUACUUUUCCAAACACUUUUGCCCUUGUUUUGGACUCUAACUUGCAUGAUUUGAAUGGAACUAACCCGGACUGACGUUGUUUUCAGCAGAAUUGCCAUGGUGUUAUUUUUGUGCAGAAAUAAAAGUUCUCGGAAUGACCUAAAAAUCAAAGGAGAAUUAUUUUGAAAUAUAUAAAAAAUAUUGGAAGGAAGAUCCACGUCAGGGGGGCCUCCACCUGUCCACGAGGGUGGAGAGCGUGCCCUACCCCCCUGGUGCUACCUCUUGAGCACUGCGUUGGUUUUCCCUUGAAGAGGAAAGGGUGAUGCAGUAAAGUAGUGUAAGUAUUUCCCUCAGUUUUUGAGAACCAAGGUAUCAAUCAAGUAGGAGAUCACGCUCGAGUCCCGCGCACCUACACAAACAAAUAAGAACCUCGCAACCAAUGCAAUAAAGGGGUUGUCAAUCCCUUCACGGUCACUUACGAGAGUGAGAUGUGAUAGAUAGGAUAAGAUAAUAUUUUUGGUAUUUUUAUGAUAAAGAGAAAUAAAGAUGCAAAGUAAAAUAAACAGCAAUAGAAAUAACUAAGUAUCACCUGGGCGCACCCCCCUGCCUCGUGGACCCCCUGACGCUCCACCGACCUCAACCCUGACUCCAUAUAUUCACUUUCGGGGAGAAAAAAACCAGAGAGAAAGAUUCAUCAUGUUUUACGAUAUGGAGCCGCCGCCAAGCCCUAAACUCUCUCGGGAGGGCUGAUCUGGAGUCUGUUCGGGGCUCCGGAGAGGGGAAUCCGUCGCCAUCGUCAUCAUCAACCUUCCUCCAUCACCAAUUUCAUGAUGCUCACCGCCGUGCGUGAGUAAUUCCAUCGUAGGCUUGCUGGACGGUGAUGGGUUGGAUGAGAUUUAUCAUGUAAUCAAGUUAGUUUUGUUAGGGUUUGAUCCCUAGUAUCCACUAUGUUCUGAGAUUGAUGUUGCUAUGACUUUGCUAUGCUUAAUGCUUGUCACUAGGGCCCGAGUGCCAUGAUUUCAGAUCUGAACCUAUUAUGUUUUCAUCAAUAUAUGAGUGUUCUUGAUCCUAUCUUGCAAGUCUAUAGUCACCUACUAUGUGUUAUGAUCCGGCAACCCCGAAGUGACAAUAAUCGGGACCACUCCUGGUGAUGAUCGUAGUUUGAGGAGUUCAUGUAUUCACUAUGUGUUAAUGCUUUGGUCUGGUACUCUAUUAAAAGGAGGCCUUAAUAUCCCUUAGUUUCCGCUAGGACCCUGCUGCCACGGGAGGGUAGGACAAAAGAUGUCAUGCAAGUUCUUUUCCAUAAGCACGUAUGACUAUAUUCGGAAUACAUGCCUACAUUACAUUGAUGAAUUGGAGCUAUUUCUGUGUCACCCUAGAUUAUGACUGUUACAUGAUGAACCGCAUCCGACAUAAUUCUCUAUCACCAAUCCAUUGCCUACGAGCUUUCCAUAUAUUGUUCUUUGCUUAUUUACUUUUCCGUUGCUAUUGCUAUCAUCACUAUAAAACAACAAAAACAUUACUUUUGCUAUCGUUACCUUUUGCUACCGUUACCACUACUAUCAUAUUACUUUGCUACUAAACACUUUGCUGGAGAUAUUAAGUUUCCUGGUGUGGUUGAAUUGACAACUCAGCUGCUAAUACUUGAGAGUAUUCUUUGGCUCCCCUUGUGUCGAAUCAAUAAAUUUGGGUUCAAUACUCUACCCUCGAAAACUGUUGCGAUCCCCUAUACUUGUGGGUUAUCAUUGCUCCUGCAGCGGGUCUUGCACCUAGCGGUGCUUCUAGGACGUAAUUCUUCUGUGUAGCAAUGAGGAUAAUUCUCAAGUUAUGGACCCAGUCCGUGUAGUUGCUACCAUCAUCUUUCAACUUAGCUUUCUCUACGAACGCAUUAAAAUUCAAAGGAACAGUAGCAGGGGCCAUUGAUCUACAAUAACAUAGACAUGCAAAAUACUAUUAGGUGCUAAGUUCAUGAUAAAUUAAAGUUCAAUUAAUCAUAUUACUUAAGAACUCCCACUUAGAUAGACAUCCCUCUAGUCAUCCAAAUGAUCACGUGAUCCAUAUCAACUAAACCAUGUCUGAUCAUCACGUGAGAUGGAGUAGUUUCAAUGGUGAACAUCACUAUGUUGAUCAUAUCUACUAUAUGAUUCACGCUCGACCUUUCGGUCUCAGUGUUCCGAGGCCAUAUCUGCAUAUGCUAGGCUCGUCAAGUUUAACCCGAGUAUUCUGCGUGUGCAAAACUGGCUUGCACCCGUUGUAUGUGAACGUAGAGCUUAUCACACCCGGUUAUCACGUGGUGUCUCGGCACGAUGAACUAUAGCAAUGGUGCAUACUCAGAGAGAACACUUGUACCUUGAAAUUUAGUGAGAGAUCAUCUUAUAAUGCUACCGCCGUACUAAGCAAAAUAAGAUGCAUAAAGGAUAAACAUCACAUGCAAUCAAAAUAAGUGAUAUGAUAUGGCCAUCAUCAUCUUGUGCCUUUGAUCUCCAUCUCCAAAGAACCGUUAUGAUCACCAUCAUCACCGGCUUGACACCUUGAUCUCCAUCGUAGCAUCGUUGUCAUCUCGCCAACUAUUGCUUCUACGACUACCGCUACCGCUUAGUGAUAAAGUAAAGCAAAAACAAGUGUGAUGUCCUCUACUUUGUUGUUGCAAGUUUUACGUGGCUGCUACGGGCUUCUAGCAAGAACCGUUCUUAUCUACGCCUCAAAACCACAACAAUUUUUCGUCAAGUGUGUUGUUUUAACCUUCAACAAGGAUCGGGCGUAGUCAAACUCGAUUCAACUAAAGUUGGAGAAAUAGACACCCACUAGCCACCCGUGUGUGAAGCACCUCGGUAGAACCAGUCUCAUGAACGCGGUCAUGUAAUGUCGGUCUGAGCCACUUCAUCCAACAAUACCGCCAAAUCAAAGUAAGACGUUGCUGGUAAGAAGUAUGACUAUUAUCGUCCACAACUCAUUGUGUUCUACUCAUGCAUAUAACAUCUACGCAUAGACCUGGCCCGGAUGUCACUGUUGGGAAACGUAUUAUUUCAAAAAAAAAUCCUACAAUCACGCAAGAUAUAUCUAGGAGAAGCAUAGCAAUGAGCGGGGAGAGUGUGUCCACGUACCCUCGUAGACCGAAAGCGGAAGCAUUUAGUAACACGGUUGAUGUAGUCGAACGUCUUUGCGAUCCAACCAAUCCAAACACCUAACGUACGGCACCUCCGCAUUCAGCACACGUUCAGCUCGAUGACAUCCCUCGAGCUCUUGAUCUAGUUGAGGCCGAGGGAUAGUUCCGUCAUCGCGAUGGCGUGGCGACGGUGAUGAUGAAGUUACCGGCGCAGGGCUUCGCCUAAGCACUACGACGAUAUGACCGAGGUGUGUAACUGUGGAGGGGGGCACCGCACACGGCUAAGAGAAACUUGUGUCUUUGGGGUGCCCCCUCCCACGUAUAUAAAUGGAGGGAGGAGGCCGGCCCAAGGGGGGGCGCCACAUGUGGGGAGUCCUACUAGGACUCCCUUGUCCUAGUAGGAUUCCCCUCUCCUUUCCUUUUACGGAGGGGGAAAGGGGGGAAGGAGAGGAGGGGAAGAGGGAAAGGGGGGCACGCCCCCUCCCCUUCCUAUUCGGACUCCACUUGGGGGGGACGCGCACGCCUCCCCCUUGUGGGUUGUCCCCUCUUCUCUCCCAUGGCCCAUAAGGCCCAUGAUUUCCCCCAGGGGGUUCCCGUAACCUCCCGGUACUCCGAAAAAAUUCCCGAAUCACUCGGAAUCAUUCCGAUGUUCAAAUGCAACCUUACAAUAUAUGAAUCUUUACCUCUCAACCAUUUUCGUGAUCUCAUCUGGGACUCCGAACAAACUUCAGUCAUCAAAUCACAUAACUCAUAAUACAAAUUGGCAUCGAACGUUAAGUGUGUGGACCCUACGGGUUUGAGAACUAUGUAGACAUGACCGAGACACAUCUCCGGUCAAUAACCAAUAGCGGAACCUAGAUGCUCAUAUUGGCUCCUACAUAUCUACGAAGAUCUUUAUCGGUCAAACCGCAUAACAACAUACGUUGUUCCCUUUGUCAUAUGUAUGUUAUUUGCCCGAGAUUCGCUCGUCGGUAUCCUCAUACCUAGUUCUAUCUCGUUACCGGCAAGUCUCUUUACUUGUUCCAUAAUGCAUCAUCUGGUAACUAACUCAUUAGUCACAUUGCUUGCAAGGCUUAUAGUGAUGUGCAUUACCGAGAGGGCCCAUAUAUACCUCUCUGAUACACGGAGUGACAAAUCCUAAUCUCGAUCUAUGCCAACUCAAGAAACACCAUCGGAGACACCUGUAGAGCAUCUUUAUAAUCACCCAGUUACGUUGUGAUGUUUGAUAGCACACUAAGUGUUCCUCCGGUAUUCGGGAAUUGCAUAAUCUCAUAGUCAUAGGAACAUGUAUAAGUCAUGAAGAAAGCAAUAGCAAUAAAAUUAAACGAUCAUUGUGCUAAGAUAACGGAUGGGUCUUGUCCAUCACAUCAUUCUCUAAUGAUGUGAUCCCGUUCAUCAAAUUACAACACAUGUCUAUGGUUAGGAAACUUAACCAUCUUUGAUUAACGAGCUAGUCUAGUAGAGGCAUACUAGGGACACUCUGUUUGUCUAUGUAUUCACACAUGUACUAAGUUUCCGGUUAAUACAAUUUUAGCAUGAAUAAUAAAGAUUUAUCAUGAUAUAAGGAAAUAUAAAUAACAACUUUAUUAUUGCCUCUAGGGCAUAUUUCCUUCAGGAAGAGCAUUGCGGGUGGGAGGGAGAAGGGGAAUUAAGAGAGUGUAGGUUUCGGUUUGGGCCUCCGCGCGCUAUGUGUACACAUGUGUUGGUGGGUCAAUAGUAGUGGCGCCAGGUUUAUACCCCACACUACUACUAUGGCCUAUCCCGGGGGUACGAUAGAGACCACUUAGUAGUAGCGAGGGAUUUAUACCCCUCGGUACUACUAUCAACUUAGUACUAGUGAGGGAUUUAUACCCCUUGCUACUACUAUCAACUUAGUAGUAGUGAGGGAUUUAUACCCCUCGAUACUACUAUGGCCAGUCCCGGGGGGCACGGUGGAGACCACUUAGUAGUAGUGUGGGGUUUAUACCGCUCGCUACUACUAUCAACUUAGUAGUAGCGUGGGUUCUAUACCCCUCUCUACUAAUAAUUAGCAGCAGUGUGGCCCAUAUACCCCUUGCUACUGUUAAGCAUCUAUCUAUAAAUUAUUUUCUAGUAGUGCAUCAAUGGCGGCGAAAUCAGUCAUUCUGCUUGUUUUCCCUACUAGCUCUCUGACGUCCAGAACAAGUUUACGGUCAUAAGGUGCAAUGCCCUUGCCUUCAUGAGUGACACGAUGACACGGGAACGGGCUUCCAAGCCUAUGGUGUCGCAUCGUGUCGUGGUCUGCUAAACUUAGUGGACGGAUGCUACUCCAAUAUCGGUUGAUCCUAUACUACGGUACCAAGGAAGACACGCAACUACUAUAUAUAUUUCUUCAAGUCAGUCAACACAAGUAAACUCUGGGAGUUCAACUGGUGCAGCUAUGCAAUGCUAAUGGAGACAACACAAUUCAACUUUAGCACUUCACACAUAAGAAAAACCACGUUCAAUGGCACACACCUUAGAGUGUACCUAUGGUGGUUGAAUGGGCUAUAAGAAAUGUGAGUCCAUGUGAAGAUGCCAAACAUAAUAACACGGCUAAUUACACAUGCAGUGGCAGCAGCAACAAGUGCGUGAAUUCAACAAAUGAUCUAGGGUACACAUGCAACGGUGUCCUUGAGUAUGACAACAACCCUUAUCUUCUAGACAAAUGCAUGGUAUGCUACUAAUUUAUUUGCUACAAAUUCCAAUGAAUUGUGUCCUUUGCUUUGUACAUACCCAAUUAUAAUAUUUUAUUAUGCUAAUACAAUGUAGCCUUCAAUUUAAACCAAGGUUUGCAUCCAUUAAUUAUGUUAGGUUCAUAUGACUUCACUACAUAAAUAGGUAGAUAAUGCAUAAGACUGAGAUUGUAGCUAGGGAUGAAAAUCUAAAUACGGCAUGAAUCUAACAAUUAUGAGUAAUGUCUUUGUGACAAGAACUUUCUUUGUCUUUUAUUCCCAUGUUUGAACUAGUAUAGGUCAGGGUUACACAUUAUGGUGCACAUCACUUUAUUUGUCACCGUUACAUUGAACACCCAUUGACUAAACAACGAUAAUCCAUCCGUCUUGUAUUACAGGUCUUCAUUUCAUUGGCCACCGAUGCUUGUAAGACUACUCCCAGAUGGUUGUUGUUGUGGAUAUGGUUGUUGAGGUUGGUGUGGUUGCUGGGGGAAUGGUUGUUGGGGUUGCUGGGAAAUUGUUUGUUCUAGUUGCUGGGAUAAUUGUUGUUGGGGCUGCAAAAAUGGUUGUUGUGGUUGCAGGAUGGAUGGUUGCUGGG